rnacentral:lncRNA from 1 species
AUGGGGUGCUGGUGGUGGUGGGCUUGCCCUAGGCUGGCCUAGCGAAAACCCAUGCCCUGAAGUCGUUGCUCAAAGCCGAUCUGGUGACGAUGGUAUUCCGGUGAUAUUUUCUAAUUUGGACUCCAACGAUGGCGUUGUUCGCCUAUCCUCUGACAUAAACAUAGAGUUCAUUCCCCUCAGACCCAGACUUUGCCCAACAACAACGGUGUGGAAGGUCGAUGAUUACGACCAUUCAGCCGGAAAAUGGUGGGUGAUAACCGAUGGGGUUACAGGGAACCCAGGUGCCAACACUUUGACCAGUUGGUUUAGAAUAGAGAAGGGGGGUGCUCUUGGUUACAAAUUGAAGUACUGCCCCGCAGUAUGUGGAACAUGCCCCGCCUUAUGCAACGAAAUUGAGAGGGGCUUUGAUGGAGAAAUGGUACGUUUGGCUCUCUCCACUGGCAAUGGAUGGCCAUUUAUCUUUAAGAAAGUUGGAAAAUCAGCCAUGGAGAUUCAACAAGUUGUUCAUAAUUAGAUUGAAAGCAAUCAUUAUGCAUGAACUAGUAGUUACUACUUAAUAUUAGCUUCAAGUAAAUAAUGCUGAGAGAACUUAUUGUUAAGAUUGCCUUGUUUGAAGCGGCAGCAUGUAUAUAUAUAUAUGCUUGCUCACAAGGUUUGUCUCUCAGAGUCCUCCUCUUUGUAUUCUUUUCAGCUUAAUGAAUAAACUAUUUACUUAUUUACUUCUUUUGUUGCCAUUGAUUCUAGUUGCAUUCGACUCAUUAACUUGGAUACAUUACCUUGUAAUUAACCAAAAACUUAUGUGUGUAUAUAUAUAUAUCAAAACAAAAAAAAAAGAGUGAGAGAGGAAAAUAGACUACCAAGUACCAAGUGAAAAAUGGUGAUACUAAAUUUCCAGAUAUAUGGCGUUGUUUGUGUGUGACAAACACCAAGUAUAAAUAGGUGGAAGUAUGACUACUUAUCAAGAGUGGUAUGGCUCAAAAACUACCCUCAUCGAAUUAUUUCAUCGUACUCAUUCAUUAUCAAUAGGAAGAAGGAUACUUCCAACAAGAAAUAUUUUGAAGGGUUAGUGUUGAGUUAGCUAAAAAUCAAAGUUUAUCAGAAGCUCGAUCUAAAAUUCGCCAAAAGGAAGAUUAUUCAAAGCAAUUUCAAUGGACAAUGGGAAUGGAAUAGUCUUUGAGUGGUUAGGGCACCUUAUCUUUUGAGAUAAAGAAGGGUUGGUCCAUGUUGGAGUUCGUGACUAACCCUUACAACAAUGUCGUUUUCAAAGUUUGAACCUGUGUCAUCCUUUGAACAUGUAAUUUGUCUUACCAUUACACCUAACAUUGUUGGUGAUUUACUUUAUUAUAUUUUUAAUUAAUAAUUAUGAUAUAUAGUAUAUUUAAGAUGGAUUUUCUUAUUCAUGUAUAUCAAUUGAAUAAAAUAUUUGUAUUUAAAAUUUUAACUCGACAUAUCAAAGGUCUGCUACUCUAGCACGUCUCUGAUCUGCUGCUCUAGCAUGUUUUGGUUUUUUUAGGGUUUUUUUUUUGCUUAUUUCUCUUUGUUCUGGCAAUGACAGUUCUUGGGAUAGAGUAUUUCUUCUCAAUCUUGUUGAUUUUGAUUCGUGGCAAUGGAGGAUGAAUUGGCAGAGUUAACAUUGAAAGAUGAGGAAUAGGAGAUUUGGCUAGUACAGAAGGAAACUGAUUUUGCGACAGUGGUUUAAGAUCUUUGUCCGGUUGGAUGCUUUCUCACAACGAGUGUAAUCCACUUACGACAAUGAGAAGCGCGACUGUGAAUCUAUGGUAUCCUCUUAGAGGAGUUUAGAUCUCUAAUUUGGGGGAUAAGAGGUUAUUAUUUCAAUUUUUUCAUAAAAUGGAUAUUGAUAGGGUACUAAAUGGGGAUCCAUGGACUUUCAAUAAUCAUCUUUUGGUGUUUCAUUUUUUGGAGGAUGGUGAGGAUCCAAUGAAGGUACCGCUAAUCUAUACGACUUUUAGGGUACAAGUGCAUGAUUUACCCCCAGGGUUUUUACUGAAUAUAUAGCAAAGAAGUUAGGUAAUUUUAAGGGUAAGGUUUUUAGAUCAAUGGCAAAAGCUUGGGUAAGGGCCUCAAGAAUUUCUUACAUAUACGGGUUUAGAUGGAUGUUAGACGCUCUUUAAAGCAAAAAAAGAAGAUUAUGUUUUCACUUGGGAAGUGUUCCUAUGUCAACUUGAUAUACGAAUGACUAACUCUGUUCUAUUUCUUCUAUGGUUGUUUGGGACACAAUGACUCUUUCUGUUAGGUUAGAAUGACUAAAGGAUUAGAAGUUUUAGAGAUGGGAUGGUAUCUAUCUCUAAAAGCCCAGUCUAGGAGAGUUGCUACGAUAAACAGUGUGUGGCUGCGGGAGGAAGGUGAAGGGGAGAUAAGGGGAAAUACCCUAAGGCAUUUUGAUUUGGGGUAGGGACUGUGGGAGGAUGGAAGGAAAGAAUCUAGGAUGCCCAUAGAUCCUGUGUUGGGGUUAAAUUUGGAGGGUGAUUUGAAUAUAGUGUCGGGUAUGCAAGGGGACUCUUCAAACAUAAAGGAUCAUUUGAAUAUGGAUCACGACUCGGAGAGGUGGAGAUGGGAAAAAAAGACCCAAAAAGGAUAAUAAAAAUCAUAGUGUUUCGAUUGUGAUAGAUUCACUUGUGAUUAGAGAUGAGAGAUCGUUGGGACGAACUCACUUUUUAUCGGCGGCUGCCAGGGGCAAGAUGAUCGGUCGCAAUGAAAAUAAUUAGUUGGAACGUCUGUUGAUUGGGGUGUCCACGAGCUAUAAGAAGGCUUCGACACAUGCUGAAGGUGUAUAAUCCCCAAGUGGUCUUCUUUAUGGAGACAAAAAUUAGUAAUGUGCAAAUGGAGAAUGUGCAUAGAAGGUGUGGAUUUUUAAAUGGUAUUGAUGUUUCUGCCGAUGGUUCAAGAGGAGGUCAUUUUUUAGCUUGGAAGAAAAAUGUUAAAACGAAUUUAAGGAGUCAUUCUAGUAGUCAUGUAUAUGUUGUAUUUUAGGAGACUGAUAAUAGAGGUUUACUGGCUUCUAUUGGACAUCGAAUACGCGUAGCAGAGACAAUUCAUGGAAUUUGUUAAGAAAUCUAGGACGCUCUCAGGAGUUCCCUUGGCUAGUGUGUGAUAAUUUUAAUGAAAUUAUGUACUCUUUUGAAAAGUUAGGGUGCCAAGAGAGGAGAGGAGAAUGGAGGUCUUUCGAGGAGUCUUAGAGGAAUGUUAGUUAAUGGACAUUGGAUACUUUAGGGCUUGGUUUACCUGGGAAAGGGGAAACUUACCGAAAACGAAUAUGAGAGAGCGACUAGAUAGAGGAGUGGUGAAUGUCGAAUGGAUGAACAUGUUUUCUAGUGCAGUGGUUUAGCAUUUACCACAUUCUUUUCCAGAUCAUUGUCCCCUUCUUAAUUAUACGGAGCAGGAGAGUAUUAGGUUGAGGCAGAAAAGGUUUCAGUCUGAGGCAUGGUGGGUAAUGUAAGAAUCUUUUAAGGAGGAGGUUAAACAAACAUGUCAAUCUACUUCGGGUGAUAUGUUGGCUAGGCUAGAAGGUGUGAGGAAGGGCUUGCUGAGAUGGGUGGGUUUUGUUAGAAAUAAAAGAGAGGGCCUUAAGAAGGAACUGACUAGAAAAUUAGAGGAGAUGAUGGGAAAGGAUAGAGAUGAUGAGAAUAUUGUUGAACUAUCUUAAGAUUCUCUUGUCAUAACUUGAAGUUGGUGUCAUUUAAUAUAAGAAUACAAUUAAUGCCUGCAAUAAUGUUGGCAGGUAUAAUCAUUGUUGUAUCAAACAAAACAAUCUCACGUAUGACUUCAAAUAUAAAACAAAAUAAUAAUUAAUUCAAAUAAAGGUAAACCCUAAGAUACCAAUCACUCCAUUAAUAUUUCAUUUUUGGACAAAUAUAUUAAGUUGUAAAUGAUAUCUUGGUGUAGUAAUUAAACAUCGACAAUAAGCGUCACAUGUUUAUUACAACAGUUGCAAAUGUAAUUUUGUUAAAUAUAAGCCUCCAUUUAGACCAGUCAAUAUUAACAUAACUUAAGUUACUUGCACACAACUCCAAAAUUAUAAAAGUCCAAUUGUUAAACCGAUUUGGUUCCUUUAAUAUAGGAAAGCCGAAUUGCAUAAACAAUCAAUGUAUCCCCUAUUUUAUUCAUGUUUAUCACAAUGUUUGGAGUGCUCACUCUUUUAGGGUGUGCUUACCAUUUAGGUUAAAAAGCAUCAUUCAACCCAAACAAUUUUUUAAAACCAAACAUUAAUUUUAAACUAGCAUUUUAGGCCAACCCAAAACUUCUAGCUUUUACCUUUCGGAAAGGUGCUUUUCAAUUAAAAACCUUUUUAUUCCUCAUUAAAUCUUCUUAUUUAUAACAUAAUGUCUAAAAUAGAAAUUUUAUUUUUCUAAAAACACUUAUAGACAACAAUAAUGUUAAGUAUAACUCCUAUUUUUAGUCAAAUUUGAAAAAUAAUCUUUUAGUUAAACUCUGUUUAUUUAUUUCAAUCAAACACUGAUUAGUUUAGAUUAUUUUUUUAUUAUUUGACAUAUGAAUUUAGCCUAUAAAUAGGCUCUUUUACAACCUUAGAAAUAACACCCAUUAGAGAUUAGAACUCAUAACACAUUUAGAGAAUUUUGUGUUUACGUUUUGAGAGUUCUUUGUUUUCGGGUUUUCGGGGUUUAGUUUUAUCUCUAUCUUUUAUACUCUUCGUUCUUUUGCCAUUAUAAUAAAAUUAUCUUUGCCCGUGAUUUUUUAUCCUCUUUGGAGGAGUUUUUCCAUGUUAAAUUUGUCUGUUCAAUUUCUCAAUUUAUUCUGCUAUUUUUGUUACUUGUUGCUUAAUCGGGCCGAUCCCUAACAAGUGGUAUCAGAGCUAGUUCAAAGAUCAGCCCAUUUAGAUAUGGCAACAACAGGGUUUGAAAUUGAGAAGUUCGAUGGUGAGACAAAUUUCAAUCUGUGGCAAGUUCGGAUGAUGGCAAUUCUAGUUCAAUCCGGUUUGAAAAAGGUUGUUACCGGGAAAAAACCUGAGAAUCUAAAUAAAACAGAAUGGGAAGAGCUUGAUGAAAAGGCCUUGUCUGCAAUCUAGUUGUGCCUCGCGAAUACUGUAUUGCAGGAGGUAUUGAUGGAGAAGACCUCAUCCGCCUUGUGGAAAAGGUUAGAAACUUUUUAUGCGACUAAGUCUCUAGCUAACCAUUUAGUGUUGAAACAACAUCUAUUUACGUUUCGCAUGAACGAAGGUAAGCUUCUUAGAGAUCACACAGUCAAUUUAUUACUCUUUUAAAUGAUUUAAAGAACGUUGAGGUUCAUAUUGAUGAUGAAGAUCAAGCUAUGCUAUUAUUAUGCUCUUUACCCCCUUCAUACAAGUCUUUUAGGGAGACCCUGAUUUAUGGCAAAGACAAAAUCUCGUUCGAAGAUGUGAAGGGUCAUUUGUUGAGUAGAGACAAACUCGACAAUGAGCUUCAUUUGGAUACCAAGGCAGAUAGGCAAGUUUCCAUUUUAGUAGCAUCAAAGAAACGAGACAAAAGGUGUCGCUAUUGUAAAAAGUUAGGUCACGUCAAAGCAGAUUGUUAUAAACUGCGAAAUAAAAGAGCUGCUGAGAGUAACGAGGAAGAUGUAGCUGGUGCUAAUUUGGCCGAUGAAAGUGGUGAUGAUUUCUUGUUAGUGUCAACAUGCGAUAACUCCAAACUCACGUCCAAGUGGAUCCUAGAUUCGGGAUGUUCUUUCCACAUGUAUCCCAAUAAAAAAUGGUUCUCUACAUACAGUUCGGUUGAAGGUGGAUUUGUGUGCAUGGGAAACGAUUCAUCUAGUAAGGUAGUUGGUAUUGGAACUGUUAAAAUCAGGACACAUGAAGGGACAAUUAGGACACUCUCAGAUGUCAGGUAUGUACCUGAUUUACGAAAGAAUCUCAUCUCCUUGCAUAUUUUAGACUUGAAAGGAUGCAAAAUCAACAUCGAUUCGAGCGGUAUUAAAGUAUCUCGUGGAGCUUUCGUUUUGUUAAAAGGUAAAAGAACUGACAGUCUUUAUAUUCUGGAAGGUUCUACAGUGACUGGUGAAAUCGGACAUCCUUCAUCCGUUAUAAAGUCGAAGUCAACUCGUUUGGAGCAGAGGCAACUUGGUCAUAAGAGGGAAAAUGUAUGACUGUUUCGUUGAAGAGAGGUUCUCUUUUGGAUGCAGGUUUUGAAAAGUUAAGGCACUAUGUUCGUGAAAAUCAGACCCGAUUAGUUUUGAUUUAGCAGUGUACAAGUCGAAGGCUAGAAGUCUUCUAGUUUCUAAGUACAGAUUCGACUUAGUUAAUUCCCUGCAUAGUUCAAGAUAGGCUCGUGGCGGGCUUUGGCAAAGAUGGCGUUGUGGAAAUGUGAGUCAAGGUGGAGAUUUGUUAAGUGUGACUCCUAUUUUAAGUCAAAUUUGAAAAAUAAUCUUUUAGUUAAACUCUGUUUAUUUAUUUCAGUCAAACACUGAUUAGUUUAGAUUAUUUUUUUAUUAUUUGACAUAUGAAUUUAGCCUAUAAAUAGACUCUUUUACAACCUUAGAAAUAACACCCAUUAGAGAUUAGAACUCAUAACACAAUUAGAGAAUUUUGUGUUUACGUUUUGAGAGUUCUUUGUUUUCGGGUUUUUAGGGUUUAGUUUUAUCUUCAUCUUUUGUACUCUUCGUUCUUUUGCCGUUAUAAUAAAAUUAUAUUUAUCCGUGAUUUUUUAUCCUCUUUAGAGGAGUUUUUUCACGUUAAAUUUGUGUGUUUAAUUUCUCAAUUUAUUCCACUAUUUUUAUUAUUUGUUGCUUAAUAGGGUCGAUCCCUAACAAAUAAUUACUAUCAAUUUUUUCAAAAUCACUUUUCUAUGGCACUGUUAAACUUAAAUGAUAAUCUGGCCUUUAAUCACUCUUUUUUAACAGAGAGCUUAUCUCUUAGCAAUAGUUUGGGCAAACAAAAAUAAUGUAUAUAUGAAAACGAAUAUUGAAUUUGAAUGUACAAUCAAUUUUUUGAACAAUUAAUUAAAAAGAAUGUUUGAAUUCAAAAAUUUUAAAAAUUUUGAUAAAAAAUGUGGAAGCGCAGACUUGUGUGAUGAAUAGUAAUGAUAAUAAUGAUAGAAGUUGUUUUCCUGGCACAAGCAACUUAUGGGAUUCGUCCAUUUGGUUCUAUAUUUCUCCGCUUCCUUGAGUGUUUAAGAGUUAAACGACAAAUUAUUAAGUAGAAAACACCAAACGAAUUGAAUUAUUUUCUUAAGAUGGUGUCGGUAAUGUAUCUGUGGAUACCCAUUUGAAUUUUUAGAAAACUGAAAAAAUAAUUUAUUUUUUCGAUUGAAUCAGCAGCAAGAAAAUAAGAAAAAAGACAACUUUGAGUUUGAGUUUGGAGCUCUGAGAUUUCGUUCGGUGAUUUGAACGGUGAGGUGAUAUGUUUAAAUGCGGGAAAUAAUAUAUAUCGGACUAGCAACAAUAUGAUGGAGUGAAAUAGAGAUUGAAGAAAGAGUAAUUUGAAGCUUUGGUCAUUAUAUUAAAGGAUUUCGAGCCGAUUUUUAGGAAAUCUAAAUCGUAGAAGUGAACAAAUAUUCUUCUUUUGUGCCACAAUCGACACAAAAGGCUAUUGUGAAUGGCAACAUUGACAAUUAUUGAGUACGGUGGCUAAAAUUUUUAAUUAAAAAAAGGAAAUAAAUAAAAUAAAAGGAAAUGAAAACAAAAAGAAAAAUGUGAAAAGAAAGAAAGAAAUAAUAAUAAUAAUAAUAAUAAUAAUAAUAAUAAUAAUAAUAAUAAUAACGUGAACUAUCUUAAGGUUCUCUUGUCAUAACUUGAAAUUGGUGUCAUUUAAUAUAAGAAUACAAUUAAUACAUGCAGUAAUGUCAAGGUAGAAUUGUAGUUGUAUCAAACAAAAUAAUCUCACGAAAAUAAUAAUUAAUUCGAAUAAAGGUAAACCCUAAGUUACUAAUCACUCCAUUUAUAUUUCAUCUUUGGAUAAAUAUAUUAAUUUGUAAAUGACAUCUUUGUGUAGUAAUUAAAUACUGACAAUAAGCAUCGCAUGUUUAUUACAACAGUUGCAAAUGAAAUUUUGUUAAAUAUUAGCCUCCAUUUAGGCCCAUCAAUAUUAACAUAACUUAAGUUAUAUGCAUAAAACCCCAAAAUUAUAAAAAUUUUAUUGUUAUUUAAAUAUAUUUUUAAAUUUUUAAAUACUUUUUGUUUAAAUUUUAUAAUUUUUUAAAUAGUGAACCCGUCGGAUCAAAGAUCAUAUUGAUUAAAUUCAAUCAAAUCAAGAAUUGAUUAUUUCACCAAUUCACUGGCCCAAUUUACAAGAUUAUGUAUUAUGUAUAAUUAUUAUUAUUAUUAUUAUUAUUAUUAUUAUUAUUAUUAUUAUUAUUACGUGUCACUCAUCAUUUGAUUAUGAGAAGAUAAGAAAGAUGAAAACAAAGUGGACCUAAUAAUUAACCUCACAUGUGAAAUGUGUUAUUGAUGCAUCGUUGAGAGCACCAAAAAUAUCCUAUCCCUAUAAAAUAACGAAAAGAAUAGUAAAAGAGAAUUAGGGCCAAAUCUUCAGACUGGAUUUGCACAACUUCUUGUUCCUCGAGAUCCCGGGCAUAGUCGUGCCCAAGAAAAAUGGCGUACCUGAAAAAAAUAAAAAAAAAUAGAAUUAAAAAUAUGGACGAAUUGAGAUUGUGUAACUUGAAAUUGAAAUUGUAAAAAUAAACAGAGUCGUCAAAACAGAUUCUUGGAUUGAGAGAUUCUAGCCUCUAGUUAUCUCGAUCCUCAUUGGUUCAAUCCUAGGCUUUUAGGUGAUCCUUCUCGAACAGAAUAAGCUAGUUAUAGUAGAAGAGGACACCUACGACUACCAACUCUACUUAGAUUUUAGACUUACGAUUUAGAGGAACCUAACUCAAGCCAACCGUCACUUUUGUUGGACCGUCUUAAACUAGAUCAUCAUUUCUUAAUGGCAAAUACCAUGUCAUUUUGUCUAUUGGGCUUAACAACCACUGACACAGUAAGCUAACGAACCGACUGUGUCACCUUCCCAAAACAUACAAAACGGUCGCCUUUGCACAAGAUGAAAAGACUUUUGGAAGGACAUAGACAAAAGCGUUAGUCCCGUAAUGCGGAGAAACGAUGAAUUAAGCGUCAGUCCCGUAAUGCGGAGAAACGAUGAAUACUCACUGAGAAAGCUAAGUGCAGAUUUUAUGCCUCAUGAACCUUUUUUGAGGAAUCAUGACAACCUUUAGCUAGAUGAGUUUAGUGGCUCAUGUUUUUCGGGAAAAAAAAAAGAAAUAAGUUUACUAAAAUGGAAUUUUAUUAAAUAAAUAAAAAGGAACAAAAAGCUAAGAGCUUUAGAGAGAGGGAGUUUUUACAGAAAAGAUUAGUGCAAUUUGUGUCACGCCGUCCCCUAUUUAUAUUACUUAGAAAACCUAGUUUUUUCCUAUUUAAAUUCUAAAAGAUAAAUAAAGAUAAAAGCUGAAAUUAAAUCUAAAUAAUAAUCUUAACAAUAAUCCUAAUAGAAUUCAAUUUAAAUAGAGUCUUGUGUUUAUAAAAUCUCUUAUUUGAAUUGUUGCCCCCAAGUCUUCCACACUUUGUAUUUUUGGCACCAUUUCUUUCCUAUUUUGCAUUUUGACCCAUUUUGUUUCAAAUUCACACUUUUUGCCCCCAAAUUUCCUUUUGGCUUCAAUUUAAUCCCUACCAGAUAAAAACCCAUAAAUAGCUCAAAUUAGUAGGAUUAUAUUCAAAAUAAGUAUGUAAUUAAUACAUAAAAAUAUGUUAUUCCAGAGUAUUAUCAAAUUCCCCCUACUUAGCCCAUGCUUGUCCUUAAGAAUAGUUCCUAUCUACUGUGAAAUUUAGAUUUUACCAUGAAAGAAAUAUUACUCCAAAGUUUUAUAAAAAUUAGGCAUAAUGCAUAUGAAAAAUAAAGAGAACCUUUAGCUUACUUUAAGUAAAACUGGAAAAGUAUUCCAAUUUAAACAUACAAAAAUCAAAACCGACUUGGAUCAUUUCAUGAAAAUUAGGUAAUUUACUAAACUUACCAAGACACCCUAUUUGUUUCCACCCUUAGUCCCCAAAUGCAAUUCAUUAUUAUUACUUAUUUUUCUUUUUUUUUUAAUAAAAUGUUGAACCUUUUGACGCAAAGACAGAUGACAACCAAGCAGCCCACCCUGGUUAUUCAGCCCAACACAUUCCUAAAAAAAUUUUGUUUAAUUCCGGUUAGCAGAGUUUGUAAUACCCCGAAAAUUACUACAGUAAUAAAUUAAGAUAAUAUUCUUGACAUAGUAAAAUAAGGAAAUAAAGUGAUAAAAAGGGUAAUUUUGAGUUAUGUCAACAUUGGGAAGUAUAUUAUGACAUAUUAAUUCAAGAAAGGAUUAAAUUGUAAAAGUGAGAAAAAUUUUAUUGCCCAAGAGUAAAUACUCAAAAUUUGAGGGGUUAAAGUGUAAAUAUGAAAAAUUUGAAAGACCAAUAGUGUAAAUAUUUUAAGGGUGGAAUAAUCUAGAAACUAAGAAAAAUGGAUGAAUUGGGACCAAAUUGACUAGGUGAAGAAUUAUGAGGGACUAAAUCGUAAUUUUACCAAAUUAAGUGAUGACUCAAGGAUGGAAUUUUAAAAGAUCUAAAAGGCAAAAUGGUCAAUUACAAGAAAGAAAAAUCUAGAAAAUAAUGAUGAUGUUGGAGAUAUUUUAGAUUAAUUAAAUAAAUAAAUAUUAGUUUAUUAAUAUUUUAAUUUAAUUUUUAAAUGAGAUUUUAUUAUUUUAUUAUUAUUUUAUUUAAUAUAUAUAUAUGGAAGGAAAGAUGAAGAAUUUUCAUCUUCUUCCUAUGCAACUAACGUAUGAAGAGAAAAGAAAGAAAGAAACUUUCAUUUCUUUACAAUUUGACCCUUUCACCAAAUACUCACCAUUUUCACUUAGAAAUCAAAAGAAUUUCCAUGUCCAUCAAGAGAGAAAGAUAACAAGGAGACUAUGGGGAGUUAUAAUAUCAAGUUAGGUUCAAGAAAUAGAAGCUGGAGGAGAGAAAAAAUCAAGUUAAAGGUUGCAACUAAUAGGACAAGGUAAGAACAUCAAGAUUAAUUCAAUAUAUUUUUAAGUUUGUUAUUAUUGAAAAAGCAUGAAAAUGAUGUUAUAGUAGAGUUUUCUUAAAUAAAGUCUUAUGUUCUUGAUAUAUUAGUGAAGGGAAAUAAGAGAAAGUGAUGGAAAAUAUUAUAGAGAAAAUGAAUAAGGAAGUUAUAAACUUAGUAAUCAAUAUCAUGCAUUAAAACAGUUUUGGACAGCAGCAGUAGUCUAACUUUGAAAAAUCACCAAAAAUUGUGGGAAUCGAAUUAGAGGAUGUAAAAUAUGAAGUUAAAUAUUAUUGAGUCUAGUUUAUCAUAGAAGAAACGGUGUAAGCAAUGGAAGUAUAAAUCAUGAGAUAUAAUAGGUUUUGUGAGACAAGGUCAGAAUGAUUUCGGGUUCCGCUGUUCUAACUUUGGAAAAUUAUAAAAAAUUGGAUAAAACUAAUUAGGGGUUUAAAUUUAUAUUUUUAAAAUCCUUAAUUAGUAUAUUUUCAAGAUAAAUAAACUAGGACAUCAUUAAAAUUCUGUACAAUGAGAUAAUUAAUUUUUAGUGAAGAGAGUUUGGAACAGUCAAACAGUGAAAUAGGGGAAAAUUUAAAGAAUAAACUGUACUUAUUGGUUGAACCAAAAGUUCUGAAAUUUUUAUGGUAAGAAUAUAUGUGAGUCUAGUUUCAAUUAAAAUUAACGGAUCUUAAUUUGGAGCUCUGUAGCUCAAGAUAUAAAUAAUUUUGUGACUAUGACUCAAGUGGACAGCUUUGAAUGAACAAAUAAAUAAAUAGUGAAAUUAUAGAUAAUGUUACAUAUAAGCAUGUUAUAUACAUUAAGAAUGUGGAAUGGAGAGGAGGAGGAGGAAAAAUAUAUGAUUAUUCAACUAGCAUGAGUUUUCAUUAAAAAUGGCCAAUUUGCAUGUUUUAGGUUCAAGGAUUAAAUUGAAUAAAAGUAAUAUUUUAAGGGUAAAUUGGUAAAAAUGUCAAAAAAGUGACCAAAUUUCAUGAAUGAAUUGUUUUAUUAUUUAAAUUAGUAAAUUGAAUGAAAUAUUAAUUUACAUCAAGAUUGGGUGGAAAUUUGAGAAAAAUAGAAAAUUUUCAAAAUGUCCCUGAAUUUUGGUAUUUCUACAAUUUAGCCUGGUAAGUUUGUGUGAACUGUAUUCUGUAUAAUUUUAAUUGAAGUGAAUUCUAUUUGGUAAUGAAUAUUAUAUAUGUGUGUGUUUUAUUAUUGGAAUGGAAUUAUUAUUGGUAAUAUGGAUAUUUGAUGCAUUGAAAUGAUUAUCGGACGCUCAAUUGAGUUGGAAGCUUGUUGGAGAUAUAUCAUAUUAUCCAUUGGUUCUAUCGAUAAUUUUGGAUGAUUUGAUUCGGUUAUAAUGGCAUGUAGAAGUUAAAUUGGUUAACGUUAACUCAUUAAUGUUUUAAUUUUGAUUGGUUAUAAAUACGAAUGUUUGAUGAAAUGAAAUGUUUGUAAAUUAAUUUGUAAACUCCAGUAAUGCUCUAUAACCCUAUUCUGGAGAUGGAUACGGGUUAGGGGUGUUACAGAGUUUUACCUAACACGUUACACAACCUUUUGACGCGAAAUAGGAUGACAACCCAAGCACCCUACCCUGAUUACUCAGUCAGUCACGUUUUAAGCUACACUCAUAACCAUGGAGGCAUAAAAAAAUUUUAUUGUAAUGAAAUAGAAUUUUAAUUUUGGAGGACUAGGAAAAACAAUCAAGUGUCAAAAAUAAGUUUUGGCAACUCCCUAACAGUCAUGAACAUAAAUUUAGCAUACAAUUGUAUUAGGUGUCCUCUUUGCAUUUAGACUUAAUCAAUUAAAAGUAAGAUAGGGCUAACUCCAUUAAUCAUAAUUAUUUUAGCCUAAUAGAAAUAAAACGUCAGAGUCGAAGUCAGAAUCGUCGAACACAACUGCUAGUUGGGCCGAAAGAGCUUGUGGCCAUCGACGAGUCCGGUGUCGAGAGGGGUCGGAAGCCGAAGAUGGUGGUGGCGAUGGUAGGUGUGAAGCAAGCGAUGGGGGAAACGGUGGAGGAAAAGAAAGGGCUAACGGUGGUGGUGAAGUCGAGUGGGAAGGUGCGGUGUCACGUGGAGGAGAGGGGGACUGGGAGGGUGCAGCUUCGGCUAAGUUGACGUGUUGGGGUUUCAAAAAUCAAUGUCAGUGGCUGUUGACGGAAAAAGAAGGUUUGACAAUGGCACGACUUCUAGUCCUAACCAUGGUGGUGGGAAAAAAUCGAUGGUGGGGGUAAGGGAGAAAGCUAACGGCGGCUGGAGGGGUGCUUGGGUGAAAAUAGGGAAAAAUUUAGGGUUUGAAGGUGUAGAAUAAAGGGUGUUUGGUUGUAAAAUGGGUGUUUGGACGUAGGUUUUGGGUAAGUUUAAAGUAAGGUGUUUGGUUGUAGUUGCUUUAUGCAGCAUCUAGGGUUUUUGAGGCAUAACAAAUGACAUGGGGCUCUCUGUCUAUCUUUUGUCCCAACACGGCCCCCACAUUGUUCUCGCUUACAUCGCACAUAAUUUAAAAUGGGUAGUUCUAAUGUGAUGCUUGUACUAUAGGAGCGGAAACCAACUUCUAUUUGAACGUGUCAAAAGCCUUCUUACAUUUUGGGCUGAACUCAAAUUUCUUAUCUUUCUGCAAUAAUUCGUAUAGUGGUUCAACUACCUUUGAGAAGUUCUUUAUAAAGCGCCUGUAAAAUCUUACAUGGCCAAUGAAAAAACAUAUUUCCCUUACAGUUGAGAGAUAUGGCAAAGAAUUUAUAAUGUCAGUUUUGGUCUUAUCAACCUCAAUCCCUUUAGCUGAAACUAUAUGUCCUAGAAUUAAACAUUUAUCUACCAUAAAAUGACACUUUUCAUAAUUCAAGACAAGAUUAAAUUCUAUGCAUCUACUUAAAAUUAUCGUGAGGUUUUUAAGGCAUUCAUCAAAACAGUUCCCAUAUACAAUAAAAUCAUCCAUAAAAACUUCGAUGAUGUUUUCUACAUACUCAGAAAAUAUACUCAUCAUACAUCUUUGGAAGGUGGCUAGUACGUUGCAAAGUCCGAAUGGUAUCCUUCUAUACACAAAUGUGUCGAAUGGGCAUGUAAAAGUGGUUUUUUCUUGGUGGAAGAAACCUGAGUAUCCAUUAAGACAGUAAAAGUAAGUUUUACCAGCUAAAUGCUCAAGCAUUUGAUCUAUAAAAGGAAGAGGGAAAUGGUCUUUUCUAGUAUAAGAAUUCAACUUCCUAUAAUCAAUGCAGACAUGCCACCCAUUUUGCACUUGGGUUGGUACCAGGUCGCCCUCAUCAUUUUUCUUUACUGCCAUGCCUGUUUUCUUAGGCAUGACCUGCACCGGACUUACCCAUCUACUGUCAAUAAUGGGGUAUAUUACGUCAGCAUCUAGAAGCUUAAUUAUUUCAUUUUUACCACAUCCAUCAUAUUCGGGUUCAACCAUCUUUGCACCUUCGCUUUGGUUUCAUGUUUUCCUCCAAGUAGAUCUUCUGUGUGCAUGUCAAAAGGCUUAUCCCUUUUAAGUCAGCAAUGGUCGAGCCAAUCAUCUCUUUAUGGUUUUUUAGUACCUAUAUCAAACUUUCCUCUUCAAGCUUAGAGAGUCUAUAAAAUAACCUAUCCCUAUAAAAUAACGAAACGAAUAGUACAAGGGAAGUAGGGUCAAAUCCUUAAGGACUGGAUUUACACAACUUCUUGUUCCUCGAGAUCUCGGGCACAGUCAUACCCAAGAAAAACGGCAUACCUGAAAAAAUAAAAAAAUAGAAUUAAAAAUAUGGACGAAUUGAGAUUAUAUAAAUUGAAAUUGAAAUUGUAAAAAUAAAUAGAAUUGAAAAAAGGGAUUCUUCGAUUUAAGAGAUUUUAGCCUCCGGUUGUCCCGAUCCUCCUUGGGUUCAAUCCUAGGCUUUUAGGUGAUCCUUCUCAUAACAGAAUAAGUCAGAUAUAGUGGAAGAGGACGCCUACAACCACCAGUUCUACUUAGAUUUUAGACUUGUGUUUAAAUAGAGUCUUGUGUUUAUAAAAUCUCUUCUUUGAACUUUUGCCCCCAAGUCUUCCACACUUUUUAUUUUUGACACCACUUAUUUCCUAUUUCGCAUGUUGGCCCAUUUUGCUUCAAAUUCACGCUUUUUGGCCCCAAAUUUUCUUUUGCCUUCAAUUUAAUCCCUACGAGAUAAAAAACCAUAAACAACUCAAAUUAGUAGGAUCAUACUCAAAAUAAAUAUGUAAUUAAUACAUAAAAAUAUGUUAUUCCAGCAUUUUCAGUUAUAUAUAAGGGUUAAAUCAUAAUUUAGUCCCUAAAGUUGUACCAAAUAAUUUGUUUAGUACUUAAAGAUUGUAUUGCAUCAAUUUGGUACCUGAAGUUCGAAAAUGUUUAUACCCAUUACUCCAAAGCCUAAUUCCAUUAAAAAAAACUAUUUUUUCGAAAUAAAUUCAAAAAUAAAAAUAGAGAAAUAACAAAAAAGUCUCAAUUUAAAAAAAAUUGAAAAAACUUAAAAUUUAUAAAGAAAGUCAGAAAAUAUGAAAAUAUAAUUUUUAAAAAAUACAUAAAAUAAAAAUUAGCGAAAAUUCAAAAAGAAAAACAAAAUUAAAAAUUUAGAAAAACACUGAAGUAAUAUAGAAAUAUAAAUGCCUACAGUACCUAUUAUUAACGUUGAAUUUUCUAACUUUUUCCUAAAAAAUUGCUUUUAGAUUUUAUUUUUUAAAAAUACAUUUUUUUUAAUAAUUUGAGUCUCAUGGCUAUAAAGUUCUUUUAAUUUAGCAAUAUGUCAUAUUUUAUGUUUCUAAAAAUAUUUUAGUCUCCAAAGGUGUAGUCUCGACCAAAAAAACAAACAAGAAUUUGAUUUUUUUUUCCUCUAAGUCUUCAGAAUUUGUGAUUACCGUUUUUAAUAGUAAUGUUGUCACUAAAAUUCUAUUCUGUAUCUACCUUAUUUUACUAUUGCACUUCAUACUUAUUGAUGAUUUAAUUUUAUUAUUAAUAAUUAAUUAUGAUAUAUAUUAUAUUUAAGAUGGAUUUUCUUAUUCAUGGAUAUCAAUUAAAUAAAAUAUUUGCAUUUAAAAUUAAAACUAUGACAUUAAAUUUUUUUUAAUUUAAAUCAAUUUGACUCUUUUAACAUAGGGAAGUCGAAUUGCAUAAACAAUCAAUGUAUUACCUAUUUUAUUCAUGUUUACCACCGUGCUUAAAGAAAUGCUCACUUUUUUAGGGUGUGCUUACCAUUGAGAUUGGAAAACAUCAUUCAACCCAAACAAUGAUUUCAAACCAAACAUUAAUUUUAAACUAGGAUUUUAAGCCAAUCCAAAACUUUUACCUUUUACCUUUUGAAAAAGUACUUUUCAAUUAAAAAUCUUUUUAUUCCUCAUUAAAUCUUCUAUUUUAUAACAUUACGUCUAAAAUAAAUAUUUUAUUUUUCUAAAAUUAUUUAUAGACAACAAUAAUAAACACUAUUAAUUUUUCUAAAAGCACUUUUUCACUGUAAUAUUAAACUUAAAUGAUAAACUUGCCUUUUAACCACUCUUUUCUAACAUAUAGCAUAUCUCUUAGCAACGAUUUGGGACAACAAAAUUAAUGUAUAUAUGAAAACGAAUAUUGAAUUUGGAUGUCCAAUCAAUUUUUUGAAUAAUUAAUUAAAAAUAAUUUUUAAAUUCAAAAAAUCUAAAAGAAUUUGAUAAAAAAAUGUGGAAGGGCACACUUGUAUGAUGAAUAGUAAAGAUAAUAAUGAUAGAAGUUGUUUUCCUGGCACAAGGAACUUAUGGGAUUCGUCCAUUUGGUUUUAUAUUUCUCCACUUGCUUGAGUGUUUAAGAGUUAAAGGACAAACUAUUAUGUAUAAACACCAAACGAAUUGGAAGGCUUUUGUCUUCUUCAAAUUUUACAUUCAAUAUCAUCAUCACAAUCAUGGUAAUUUACUUUCAUGAAUAAACUUUUAUGUCCCAUUUAACCUGAAUUAUUAAAAAUUAUUAAGUCAAUUAUAUUUUUAAGAUGGUGUCGUUGUCCAGCGACAUUGAUUUAAAUUUUUUUUAAAAUUAUUUUAAAAAUGAAAAAAAUUUACUUUUUUGAUUGAUUCAGCAGCAAGAAAAAAAAAAGAAACCUUUUCGGAUUCAAAACUCUAAAAAUCUGUUCAUGAUCUGAACGGUGAGGUGAUGUAUUUAACUGUGAAGAAUAAUUUAUAUUCGACUAGUGACAAUCUGAUAGAGUAAAACAGAGAUUAAAGAAAAAGUAGUUUGAAAUCUUGAUCAUUGUUUUAAAGGAUUUGAAGUCGAAUUCUACAAAAUUUAAAUUGUAGAAGUGAAUGAGGAGAAAAAGCCCCUGUGAAUGGCAACAUAGAUGGUUAUUGAGUAUGGUCGUUAAAAUUUUCAUUUAAAGAAAAAGGAAAUAAAUAAAAUAAAAUGAUAGGAAAACAAAAAUAAAAACGUGAAAAGAAAUAAAGAAAGAAUAAUAAUAAUAAUAAUAAUAAUAAUAAUAAGAGAAUUUUGGGGGCGAUGCUUUUGUACAAAUCUGCAACUACACGUGAAGUGGAAUAAAAAGUUGAGCAUGUCGCUCAGCCUUGCGCUUUCGAGGCGCUCCAUUCAUCACGAAUGGGGCCAGAUUUCUCAAUGAGUGAAAGUGGUACUAAUAAUUUACCUCACAUUUGAAAUGUGUUAUAAAUAUAUAUGUGGAUGAAUUUUUUGCUACCAUGCUAAAAUUGAAGAUUUUAAUUUUGGUGGAUUUUAAGUUUUUAUAUAUUUUAAAAUUUAAAAUUUUAAUCUUAAUUUAAAUGAUAAUCGUUAAAUUUGUUGGGUCAAAUUUUGUUAUUAGUCAAUUACUAUGCAUAAAUUAUGAACUUAAUUCAUGUAUUUCAAUUUGAUCACUUUCAGUCAUUAUAUUUUUCAGUUUUGGAAUUCUGGUACUACUUAAAUAGUAACUAUUAAAUCCAUUUACUAUAAUGAUAUAAGAUUUUUGUGAGUAUUAUGUAAAAUAGCUACUUAUCACAUUUUUAAUGUAUAUAUUUAUUAUAUUGUAUAUACCAUUUCAACUAAAUUCAUUUAAUUUUUAUAAAUUUAUUAUAUAAAUUUAAGUACAAAUAUGUGUCAUUCUCUAAUAACAAUAAUAAUAAUAAGUGGAUGACAUAAGAUGUGUCAAAACAUUUAUCUUCAAUUCUGAUGCAGAAAGGCAGGCGGUCAUUUUUAGUAAAAAUACAUAAAUAUAUCACUAAAUUAUUAGUAGCAUUCUGUUUUCCUUACUAAAUGAUAAUACUCUAGAAUGACAUAUUUUUAUUUAUUAAUUAUAUGUUUAUUUCGAGUAUGAUCCUAUUAAUUUGAGUUAUUUAUAGUUUUUUUAUCUGAUAGAGAUUAAAUUGAAGGCAAAAGGAAAUUUGGGGGCUAAAAGCAUGAAUUUAAAGACAAAAUGGGACAGCAUGCGAAAUAGGAAAAAAGUGGUGCCGAAAAUAUAAAGUGCGAAAGGCUUGAGGCAAAAAUUCAAAGAAGAGAUUUAUGAACAGAAGACUCUAUUUAAAUUUGAAUUUUAUUAAGAUUAUUGUUAAAAUUAUUAUUUAGAUUUAAUUUCAGCUUUUAUCUUUAUUUAUCUUUUAGAAUUUAAGUAGGAACAAACUAGGUUUUUUUUUUUAACUACAAUAAAUAGGGGAUGGAGUGACACAAAUUGACACUCAUCUUUUCUGUAAAAGCUCCCUCUCCCAAAAAGCUCUAGCUUUUUGUUCCUUUUAUUUUUCAAUAAAAUUUCAUUUUAUUAAACUUAUUUCUUUUUUCCAAAAGGCAUGAGCCACUAAACUCAUCUAGCCAAAGGUUGUUGAGAUUCCCCAAAAAGGAUUCAUAAGGCUUAGAAUCCGCAGCUAACAUUUUUAACAAGUAUUCAUUGUUUCUCAGCACUACGGGACUGACGCUUCCAUCCAUGUCGCUUCAAAAGUGAUCUUUUCAUCUUGUGCAAAGGCGGCCACUUUAUAUGUUUUGGGAAGGUUGCACAGUGGGUUCGUUAGCUUACUGCGUCAGUGGUUACCGAACCCAAUAGACAAAAUGGCGUGGCAUUCGCCAUUGAGAAAUGACGAUCUAAUGUAAGACGGUCCCAAAAAAGUGACGGUUAGCUAGAGUCAAGCUCCUCUAUAUCGUAAGUCUAAAUUCUAAGUGGAGCUGGUGGUCGUGGGCGUCUUCUUCCACUAUAACUAGCUUAUUCUGUCAUGAGAAUGAUCAUCUAAAAGCCUAGGAUUGAACCCAAGGAGGAUCGAGAUAACCUGAGGCUGGAAUCUCUCAAUCCAAGAAAUAAAAGUUAGAGGUGGUAGGGACUCAGAGUAACCCACCGUCGAAAAUAGAAGCAAACGACAAAGUUGAGUCUAGGGUUAAUGAAAACCCUACUCACACGCUAGAAAAUGAAAGAAUAGGAGUCAAUCCACCAGAAGAAGUGCUUAAUGCUACGGUUAACGAAAACCCAAAUCUAACACAUCAACCUAUAGCUCAAACGAUUCAGCGGCCGAAGCUCCUGCAGAACAAUCGUUGUUAUGCAUUGCGUAUCCUACUAUGGAUACUAAUUUUGAACUGAAGUCAGGAUUAAUCUAGUUACUGUUGACUUUCCACGGAUUAUAAAAUGAAAAUUCACACAAACAUGUAAAAGAGUUUCAUAUGGUUUGUCUUAGUAUGAAACCUUAGGGCGUAACUGAGGAUCAAAUCAAAUUGCGUGCUUUCCCUUUUUCCUUAGCAGAUUCUACUAAAGAAUGGUUGUUUUAUCUACCUCCUGGAUCUAUUACAACUUGGACUAAUCUUUCUAGUUUGUGUCUCAACAGGUUUUUUCCAAUAUUGUGUGCAGCUGAGUUAAGAAGGGAGAUCAUUGGGAUAAGGUAAAAAGAAGUAGAGUUUCUUUACGACUAUUGGGAGCGAUUUAAGAAGUUGUGUGCAAGUUGCCUACAACAUGGUAUAACCAAACAGUCUCUACCCCAAUACUUUUAUAAAGGCUUGAAGCCCAUAAAAAUGAACAUGGUAGAUGCAGCCAGUAGAGGGACGUUGGUCAAUAUGACUCCCCAACAGGCAAGAGACUUGAUUUCCAUGAUGGCUGCAAAUACUUAGCAAUUUUGAGCCAAUCCUGAACCCACUAGAAGGGUUCACCAGCUAAGUAAGUCAACUUUAGAAGAUAAAGUUGAUAGACUUACUAAUAUCGUGAAUUCUAUUUUUGUACUAAAAAUAGGAACAGCCCGACUGUGCAGAAUUUGUGCAACACCCGAACAUACAAUUGAUGCAUGCCCUAGUUUGUGUGACGAUACUAUAGCCUAUUUAGAUGUUGUGAGAAACUUUUUGGACCGUCCCAAAGGCGAUAUGACCCCUAUGCAAAUACAUAUAAUCCAGGAUGGAAAGACCAUCUUAACUUGAGUUAUGGGCAAACCUGCAGUAUAACCAGCCAUACCAAAACCAAUUUCCACAAUAAAUGCAAGAUUUAGGUACCUCUCUAGAAACCAUGGUCAAUAAAUUAGUAGCUAAUGUAUUUGAUUCCAACAGCAGAUAAAACAACAAACUGUUGAUUUCCAAUAGCAAAUAAAUGGCAAACUCUUGAUUUCCAAAAGGAAACAAAGGAUUUUCAACAUAAAAUCGAGGCGUCUAUAAGAUAGUUGACUACACCAAUUGAGAAAAUAAACUCACAUGGAAAGCUGUCGUCACAAACUGAACCUAACCCAAGACAACACACAAAUGCAGUGACGUUGUGAAAUGGAAAAGUACUAAUAUCGAAUCAUUGUUGGAAUCUUGAUCAAGAUUCUGCACAAAAAAAAGCAAGAGAAUGAUGAACAAGUCCGAACGAAACCUCCAUUACCCAUAAUUCAACCUUCAUUUCCAGGACGAUUGAACCAACAUCGGAGACGUAAAGAGGAAAAAAAGAUCCUCGAAACAUUCAAAAAGGUCGAGAUCAACAUACCAUUAUUGGAUGCCAUCAAACAAAUUCCACGAUAUGCCAAGUUCCUUAAGGAAUCUGCAGUGUUGCAGCGGAGGAUGCCAGUUAAAUGUAAAGAUAAGGGCAUGUUUGCAAUACCAUGCAAAAUAGGCCACUUAGAAAUUAAAAAAAUUAUGUGUGAUUUAGGGGCCACCAUAAAUGUAAUGUCUUUUUCUAUAUAUGAAUCACUUAACGUGGGUUUUUUGAUGAAAACAAGUGUUAUUAUUCAAUUAGCAAAUAGGUCUAUUGUGCAUCCCGAAGGAGUCCUUAAGGACGUAUUAGUGAAAGUCAACAGACUUAUCUUUCCUGUAGACUUUUAUGUGAUAAAAAUGGAAGAGGAUAACGCUCCUGAGUCUUUGGAUAUCUUGUUGGGGUGACCUUUCUUUAGUACUGCAUAUACUAAGAUUGACGUGCGUAGCGAAACCCUCACGAUGGAGUUUGACGGGGAGAUCGUGAAGUUUAACGUUUAUGGCACCAGAUCUGGAAUUAAAACCACUUUCUGAGCAUCUCAAAUGCAUAUUUUUGGAGAAUGAUGAGAUCAUUGUAGACUUAAAAGGGAUCAACCCCUUGACAUGCACACAUAAAAUUUUCUUGGAGGAAAAUACGAAACCAAAGAAAGAGGUGCAAGGAUGAUUGAACCCAAAUAUGGUGGAUGUGGUAAAAAAUGAGAAUUUCCAAGCCUAUACGAAUGAAAAAAAUUAGCUGGAACAUCCCCAAUACUAGUUGGGGCGUCAAGCUAACGACGUUAAAUAAGCGCUUGUUGGGAAGCAACCCAAAUUUAUUUUGUUUUAUUUUAUUUUAUUUAUAUUUAUAGUUAUAGCUAUAUUCUUUAUUUUCUUUAUUUUCUUGCAUGUUAAUAAAUUUUAACUCUCUUCUUAUAUCCAAGAGAAUCGAGGAAUUGAAAAAAAUAGAUUUGGAAACAGGCGAAAAUAGUAACGAAAACGACAUGAGGAGUGUCCUAAACCCUUUCUUUUCAUCAUAUUUAUUAAUAUUAUUUUUCACACCGAGGAAUAUGUGUUUAUGGCUACUCUUCUCAAUAAUGUUGUUUUCAAGGUUUGAACCUGCAUUAUCAUUUGAACAUGUAAUGUGUCUUAUCAUUACACCCAAUAUUGGUGAGUUACUCUAUUCUAUUCUUAAUUAAUUAUUAUGAUAUAUAUUAAGUUUAAGAUGGAUUUUCUUUUUCAUGUUUACCAAUUGAAUCAAAUUUUUGUAUUUAAAAUUUUAACUUGACAUAUCGAAAGUCUGCUACUCUAGCACGUCUCUGGUCUACUACUCUAGCAUGUUUUGGUUUUUCUUUAGGGUUUUUUUGGCUUAUUUCUCUUUGUUCUAGCGACAGCGGUUCUUGGGAGGGAGUGUUUCUUAUCAAUCUAGUUCAUUUUGAUUCAUGGAAAUGGAGGAUGAAAUGGUAGAGUUAACAUUGGAAGAUGAGAAAGAGGAGAUUUUGCAAGUACAAAAGGAAAUUGAUUCUACAACGAUGGGGAGAUUUUGCAAGUACAGAAGGAAAUGGAUUCUACAAUGGUGGUUUAUGAUCUUUUUCUAGUUGGAUGCUUUCUUAUGGUGAGUGUAAUCCAAUUUCUGGCAAUGAGAAGCACGAUGUCAAAUUUAUGGCAUCCUCUGAAAGUAAUAGGUUGAGGUAGAAAAGAUUUUGGUUUGAGGCAUGGUGGCUGAUGAAAGAAUUUUUUGAGGAGGAGGUUAAACGAAUAUGUCAGUCUACUUCAAGUGAUAUGUUGGCUAAGCUAGAAGGUGUGAGGAAAGGCUUGGUGAGAUGGGUGGGUUCUAUUAAAAAUAAAAAGAAGGGCCUUAAGAGGGAUCUGACUAGAAAAUUGGAGGAGAUGAUGGGAAAGGAAGGAGAUGUCAAGAAUAUUGUUGAACUAUUUUAAGAUUCUCUUGUCAUAACUUGAAGUUGGUGUCAUUUAAUAUAAGAAUACAAUUAAUGCAUGCUGUAAUAUUAGCAGGUGUAAUUGUAGUUGUAUCAAAUAAAACAAUCUCACGUAAGAAUUCAAAUAUAAAACAAAAUAAUAAUUAAUUCGAACAAAGGUAAACCCUAAGAUACUAAUCACUCCAUUAAUAUUUCAUUUUUAGACAAAUAUAUUAAUUUGUAAGUGAUAUGUUGAUGUAGUAAUUAAACACUGACAAUAAACGUUACAUGUUUAUUACAACAGUUGCAAAUGUAAAUUUGUAUAACAUUAGUCUCCAUUUAGGUCAGUCAAUAUUAACAUAAUUUAAGUUACGUGCAUACAACCGAAAAAUUAUAAAAAUCUUAAUGUUAUUUAAAUGUAUUUUUAAAUUUUUAAAUAGUUCUUGUUUAAAUUUUAUGAUUUUUUUUAAUUUUCAAUUUUUUUAAAUAGUAAAUCUAUCGUAUCAAAGAUCAGUUUGAUCGAAUUCAAUCAAAUCAAGAAUUGAUUAUUUCACUCGUUCAAUCACCGGUCCAAUUUACAAGAUUAUGUAAUUUAAAGAAUUAUUAUUAUGAAAAAGAAAAGAAAAGGAUAAUACCCAAGGGAGCCUUUUGGACCUCCUUCUUCUUCUUCAAACAUAAAAAUAGAGAAAAUAACAAAAAAAAAAUCACAAUUUUUAAAAAACUGAAAAAAAAAAUUAAAGUUAUAAACAAAAUUCAGAAAUUAUGAAAACAUAAUUUUUAAAUAUUGAAAUAUAAAUGUCUACAUUACCUUUUAUUAACGUUGAAUUUUCUAACUUUUUCCUAAAAAAUUGCUUUUAUAUUUUAUUUAAAAAUGCAUUUUUUUAAUAAUUUUAGUCUCAGGCCUAUAAAAGUUCUUUUAAUUUAGCAAUAUGUCAUAUUAUUAUUAUUAUUAUUAUUAUUAUUAUUAUUAUUAUUAUUAUUAUUAUUAUUAUUAUUAUUAUUAUUAUUAUUAUUAUUAUUAACUUUACAUUGAUUUUCUUAUUCAUGGAUAUCAAUUAAAUAAAAUAUUUGUAUUUAGAAUUUUAAUUAUGAUAUUUAACUCUCUUUUUUUAAUUUGAAUAGAUUUGGUUAAUACUAAUUUGUAUCUAAUUCAAGGAGCAAUAUUAGUUUAUUAUUCUAAUUUGGUAAUUAUCAUAAUAAUUUAUUAAUAUUUUUAAAUACAUAUAAUUAUAAAAUUUAUUAUUGAAAAAUAUGGAACGAAUGAAGAAGUACCUUAAGGAGUAUCUACUCCAUGACCAAUUGUGACAAAUUAGAUUGUUUUCAUAUUUUUGUUAUUAGCAAUUUAUUGAAUAGAAUUUAUGGGCUAUGCUGAUUAAAUGGAUUAUAUCUAACACAUCAAUGAAGAUCAUAUCACUUGUGGAAAUAUAUUUGGAAGAUUGGAUCGAAUUGGAUAACCCUUAUCGAAAUAUUUUAUAUAAUUGAGAGACUUGUAUAGGUUGUCAUACCUAGAAUUGAGAGCACUUAAUUGGUUCAGGUGAGUAACAUUAUUUGUGAAGUGCAUUUGAUUGUUUGUGUUGUGGAUUUAUAUGCUAAAUUCACAGGGUGAAUUUAAUUACUAGGGUCCUAGUCUUCAAAGAUACAAAAAUGAGGAAAUUGUCAAUAGGGUGUAAUAGAUUUAGGGUCACUUGUUAUAAGUGUUUGAAGAUAGUUGAUAUUUCUCACUGAGUUAGGUUCCAUUGACAUAGGGAAGCCGAAUAUAACAUAAACAAGCAAUGUAUCCCUUAUUUUAUUCAUGUUUAUCAUAGUGCUUGAAGGAGUGCUCACUCUCUUAGAAUAUUUACCAUUGAGGUUCAAAAGCAUCGUUCAACCCAAACAAAGAUUUCAAACCAAAACAUACGGUAAAUAAUUAGCUUUUCAAACCAAACAUUAAUUUUAAUCUAAAUUUUUAAUCCAAUCCAAAACUUAUAAUUUUUACCUUUUGAAAAAGUAAUGUUCAAUUAAAAACUUUUUUAACCCUCGUUAAAUCUUCAACUUUACAACAAUGAUAAAUACUAUCGAUUUUUUCAAAAACACUUUUCACGACACUAUUGAACUUAAAUGAUAAACUGGCCCUUAACCACUCUUUUUUAACCUAUAGCUUAUCUCUUAACAACUGUUUGGGUCAACAAAAUUAAUGUAUAUAUGAAAACGAAUAUUGAAUUUGGAUGUCCAAUCAAUUUUUUGAAUAAUUAAUUAAAAAGUUUAUAAAAACACACUAAUAUUUAUUUUACAACUGAGCUUUCCCGUUUUUAUAUAGAGAAGGAGAGCUAAAAUAAGCAGAUAAGAAGGAAUCUGCUUUUACAACACUCAUUAAGAUAAAGGACAUGACUCAGCAAAUUUUUACAAAAGUUAAAAGAAUUUGAUAAAAGAAUGUGGAAGGGCACACUUGUACGAUGAAUAGUAAUGAUAAUAAUGAUAGAAGUUGUUUUCCUAGCACUAGGAACUUAUGGGAUUCGUCCAUUUGGUUCUAUAUUUAUCCACUUGCUUGAGUGUUUAAGAGUUAAAAAGGACAAACUAUUAAGUAGAAAACACCAAACGAAUUGGAAGGCUUUUGUCUUCUUCAAUUAGUAUGACCUAUAUUUCUUAUUAAACUUCGUAUUUUACAUUCAAUAUCAUCAUCAAAAUUAGAGGUAUUCAUAGGCCGGGUCGGGCCGGGUUCGGACUGGGCCUAGAAAAAAAAUUUUGGCCUGCUUCAUGAAUAAACUUUUAUGUCCCAUUUUAAUCUGGAUCAUUAAAAAUUAUUAAUUGAAUUUUUUUUUAAGAUGGUACCGUUAAUGUGUCAAGUGAUACCAAUUUGAAUUUUUAAAAAAAGUUAUUUGAAUUAAUUUGAUUUCAUUCGGUGAUCCAAACAGUGAGGUGCUAUGUUUAACCACGGGGAAUAACAUAUAUCCAAAUGGCGACAAUCUGGUGGAACGAAACAGAGAUAGAAGAAAGAGUAGUUUAAAGCAUUGGUCAUUAUUUUAAAGGAUUUGGAGUCGACUUUUAGAAAAUCUGAAUUAUAGAAGUGAACGAAGAGAAUAUCUCUUUUUUGGUGCCGUAAUCGACAUAAAUGGCAACAUCAGUAGUUAUUGAGUAUAGUGACUAAAAUUUUCAAUUAAAAAAAAAAGGAAUGGAAAGGAAAACAAAAAGAAAAACGUGGAAAGAAAGAAAGAAUAAUAAUAAUAAUAAUAAUAAUAAAUAAAAAUAGAAUUGUGGGGGCGAUGCUUUUGAACAAAUCUUGAUUUAAACUAUAUAAAGAAAUUAUGUGUUAUAUAUAUAAUUAAUUAUGUACUUAUACUUAAUAUAUUAUAUAUCAAAUGUCAUAUUUUUAUAUUCUCGGGAAGUGGUGACAUACGAGUACUUGAUUCGAUUUAUUUCUUUAUCUCCCCAUGAAUUGUAUGUUUGUAACAUUAGGGACAGAAUUUCUUCAAUUCCAACUGACUGGACAUAUUGUGUCGAUUUUUUUUAGUAAUAUACCUAGAAAUACCCGUUGAUUCCCUAUAAACGCUGUUUCGAACACAACUGGUACACUCCAAAAUAAUCGUUAUUCGAACAUCAUUACUCUUGGCCAUGAACCUCCUUUGAGUUUUUAAUUCACCCAACUUUUUUAUUUUCAGAUCAAAAGCGAAGAAGAAAGGAAUAAAAAAAAAAGAAGAAAUCAAAGUUGCUAACUCAAAACCAAAUCCUAGAAAAAUUUGGUUGCAAUCAAUAUAGCAAGUCAAUAUAAAUUUAUAGUAAUAGCNNNNNNNNNNNNNNNNNNNNNNNNNNNNNNNNNNNNNNNNNNNNNNNNNNNNNNNNNNNNNNNNNNNNNNNNNNNNNNNNNNNNNNNNNNNNNNNNNNNNUUAAUUGAAUUUAAAAUAUUCAAUUAAAAUAAAUUAAACUGUAUAAAUUUUAUAAUUUUAAAUUAUUAUUUUUGUAUUAAUUUAAAAACAAAAUAAAUAUUAUAUACAAUGAUUUAGUUACAGCGUGUCAGCUUGAAGUCUAAGACUUUAUAACAUAUAAAUUUAAUAGAUAAUUAAUAACUAAAAAAUUAAAUAGCAAAAGCAUAAUUGCGCCACUUCUCACCAUUUUAAUGUAUGCAACUUAUUAUAUAUUUAUAUAUAUUAUCAUUUUAUUUUAAAUAAUUUAAUUUUUAUAAAUUUAGGGAUAAAUCUCAAAAUUAUACAUGAAUUUUAAUUUAAUAUGCAAUUGCAUACAUAAACUUUAAUUUAGUGCAAUUAUACACGUGAUACUCUAAUUGUGGUUCAAAUACAUACUUAAAAAUUUAAUAAUACAUAUUUAAAUAAAUAAAUAAAUACAUCAAUUUUUUUAUAUUGGAUAAAUAUAAUUAUUCAUGUAUGCAAUAUAUAACAUAAAAUGAUGUUAUAUCAAUUAAUUGUGUUAAUAAUUUUCAAGAAUUGGAUCAAAUCAAAAUUUCAAGUAUAAAAUUGCACAAAAUCAAAGUUAAUGUAUACAAUUGCACAUUAAACCAUAGUUCAUGUAUAUUUUUUACAUAUAUCCCAUAAAUUUAUUACAUAAACUUUUUACGUAUAUCAUAUAUAGAGUUGUCCGUGAACCGAGCCAAGGAAUGCCCGCUCGAAAAAAUGAGAGGGUUUGGGAAAAAAACCCGAAUUUUCAAUAAAAAACCCUGUUAUUUUUGCUGCUAUUUUUCCAUAUUUUGGUGUUGUUUUCUCUCUUUUUGCCGCUAUUUUACUACCAUUUGACUAUUAUGUUACUACUAUUUUUUUAAUGUUUGGAUAUAGUAUAAUAAUUAUUUUAUUGUUAAUUUUGUCACUAUUUUAGAGGCAUUUGCUUGUUAUGUUGUACUUAUUUUAGUUUUUAUUUAAGUAUAAAAUAUUUUUUAAAAUUUAUUUUUAAUUUAUUGAGAAACAUGUAAUUAAAUAUUUUUAGUGUAUUUGUUGUAUUAUAUUUGUUAAAUUUUAUAUAAAAUUAAAAAUAAAAAAAAUGGACCGAGAUGGGAGUUUAACAAAAAUUUAGGCCCAUUUUUCAGGUCGGGCCGACUCAAACCUAACAAUCGGACUUAAAAUUUUGUUAGAGCUCGGUCCAUCCCAUGAACAACUCUAAUUAUAUAUAUAUAUAUAUAUAUAUAUAUAUAUAUAUAUAUAUAUAUAUAUAUAUAUAUAUAUAUGUCANNNNNNNNNNNNNNNNNNNNNNNNNNNNNNNNNNNNNNNNNNNNNNNNNNNNNNNNNNNNNNNNNNNNNNNNNNNNNNNNNNNNNNNNNNNNNNNNNNNNNNNNNNNNNNNNNNNNNNNNNNNNNNNNNNNNNNNNNNNNNNNNNNNNNNNNNNNNNNNNNNNNNNNNNNNNNNNNNNNNNNNNNNNNNNNNNNNNNNNNNNNNNNNNNNNNNNNNNNNNNNNNNNNNNNNNNNNNNNNNNNNNNNNNNNNNNNNNNNNNNNNNNNNNNNNNNNNNNNNNNNNNNNNNNNNNNNNNNNNNNNNNNNNNNNNNNNNNNNNNNNNNNNNNNNNNNNNNNNNNNNNNNNNNNNNNNNNNNNNNNNNNNNNNNNNNNNNNNNNNNNNNNNNNNNNNNNNNNNNNNNNNNNNNNNNNNNNNNNNNNNNNNNNNNNNNNNNNNNNNNNNNNNNNNNNNNNNNNNNNNNNNNNNNNNNNNNNNNNNNNNNNNNNNNNNNNNNNNNNNNNNNNNNNNNNNNNNNNNNNNNNNNNNNNNNNNNNNNNNNNNNNNNNNNNNNNNNNNNNNNNNNNNNNNNNNNNNNNNNNNNNNNNNNNNNNNNNNNNNNNNNNNNNNNNNNNNNNNNNNNNNNNNNNNNNNNNNNNNNNNNNNNNNNNNNNNNNNNNNNNNNNNNNNNNNNNNNNNNNNNNNNNNNNNNNNNNNNNNNNNNNNNNNNNNNNNNNNNNNNNNNNNNNNNNNNNNNNNNNNNNNNNNNNNNNNNNNNNNNNNNNNNNNNNNNNNNNNNNNNNNNNNNNNNNNNNNNNNNNNNNNNNNNNNNNNNNNNNNNNNNNNNNNNNNNNNNNNNNNNNNNNNNNNNNNNNNNNNNNNNNNNNNNNNNNNNNNNNNNNNNNNNNNNNNNNNNNNNNNNNNNNNNNNNNNNNNNNNNNNNNNNNNNNNNNNNNNNNNNNNNNNNNNNNNNNNNNNNNNNNNNNNNNNNNNNNNNNNNNNNNNNNNNNNNNNNNNNNNNNNNNNNNNNNNNNNNNNNNNNNNNNNNNNNNNNNNNNNNNNNNNNNNNNNNNNNNNNNNNNGUCAUUCUCUAAUAAUAAUAAUAACAAUAAUAAGUGGAUAACAUAAAACUAGUAGUAAAGAGUAAGAAGACAAAGAAGAAUUAAGUGGAUAACAUAAAACGUGCGAAAACAUUUAUCUUCAAUUCUGACACAUAAAGCCAACUAGUAUUUUUGGGUAAAGUAUAGAAAUGGUGAUUAAAUUAUUGUUGAUGUUCUAUUUUAAUUUUUAAUUUUUUUAUUUUAGUUAUUAAAUUUUUUGAAAUUAAAUUUUUUGUUAUCAAAUGUUAACAGCAGUUUAAAAUUUAACAGAAAUACUGAUGUGAACUUUCUUAUUGAUUUAAUAAUAAAUUUAGCCUUCUAAUAUUUAUAUAUUCUAUUAAUUUGAUACUAAAUAUAAAAAUUUAACAAAUUUAAUUCUCAAUAUUUACAAAUUUUAUUAUUUUAAUUCAAAUUCUAAAAAAAUUCAAUAAAUUUAACCCUCAACAUUAAAAAAAUUGAUAAAUUUCAAUUUUUAAAAUUUUGUAAAUUCCUGAAAUAUAAAGCAUCAUUCUCCACCUCAUGGGAUUCCAUGUAAAUGGAUUUUCUUGAAUUCUUUACCAAGUUGUCUUGAGUUUAAUUUCUUCUUAUUUAGUUUGUGGAAUGAAUGGUAUAUAUAGUUAGAUGUCACUGCAGCUGACAAUGAAAGGUUUGACAAAGUUGAUAAGUUCAGAGGUUUUGAUGCUGAGCUUCAAAUCAGUCUUGCCUCCACACAAUCAAGAAAUGAACUUUAUAAUUUUUGAUUGAGUCUUAACUCGAUUAACAUGAGUAUUGUUAUUAAUAUAGGAGGAAGUGAGUUCGAGUGCGCUGAAACACAUUAUCUUCUUAUUGAUGAAUUGAGGAGGGGCUAUGAAUAAUUUUAAAUAUUGUAUUAAAAGAGUAGAGAUAAUUGAAACCUACAAUAAUAUUGUUCAAAAAAAUUACCUAAAAACAUGAAAUCUUACUCCCUGAAUUUUCUAAAAACACAAUAUUUCUCCCUGCCUUUGAUGGUGUAUACAUGCAUGGCCAUGUGUGAGCUCCUGCAUUUUAACUAAUCAACACAGAUAAUACCUUCAAUGAGACAUUAAAAUUAACUUCUUCUUUUCUUUUUUUUUCAUAAAAUUUAUAAUUUUGUAUUUCAAUGAAAACAUCUAAAUCUAAGUUGAUCCGAGUCCAAAAAAAUCUGAAGCUGUAAAAAGUUUGAUCUGAGGCUGCUCAUUCGCCACCUCUAAUAACCAUUUGAUAGAGGUUUAAUAAAGAGGAAUUUAGAUUUUAGGAAUUUACAAAAUUUUUAAAAUUAUUAUUUUUUAUUUUGUAAAUGUUGAGGGAUAAAUUUAUUGAAGUUUUUAAAAUUUGAACUGAAAUGUCAAAAUUUGUAAACAUUGAAGGCUAAAUUUGUUUAUUUUUUCUAUUUAAGACCAAACUGAUAGAAUCUGUAAACAUUAGAAGACUAAAUUUAUUAUUAGACCAAUAAAAGAAAUGCCCAAGUUAAUGUUUUCUCAAAUUUCAAACCGCUGUUAAUAUUUAAUGACCCAAAUUUUUUAUUUCAAAUAAUUUGGUGACCAAAAUAGAAAAAAAAUUAAAAGUUUGAUGACCAAAGUAGAACGUGGAAAAUAAUUUAAUGAUAUUUUUAUACUUUAUUUUUUUUAUGAUUAUUUAUACAUAUCAAGUGGAGUUAAUUUAGGGAAAAGAAUCAAUGGUUAAGGUUGUUGUUGAUACUUAUCAGGGUCCAGAUUUUGCUAAUGUAAUUUUCCUUAUCAUAGUUUGUAUCUUAAUUUUGUUACCAAAAAUAUAUUAGUAAUAAAUAAUAUAUGCACGAGAAAUGUACGUAUGAUUGAUUUAAACAAUACAUGUUGGAGUAAUUUACAUAUGGAUUUAAAAUAAAAUUUAAAAAUAAAAUAAAAUUUUAAAAAUCCAAAAGUAUUUUUUCUUUUAAAAAAAUUUAAAAAUAAUUUUUAAAUUAUUUACAUGAUUGAUUUAAAGGAUAUUUUUCUAUUAAUUAUUUUUCUAUUAAAUUUAUUUUACUUUAUGUAUAACAAUUUAAAGGGUUUGUAUAUAUGCUAACUCGCGAGUCAAUUAAAAUUUGUAUUAUAUUCAUUGAAUUUUUUUAAAAUAUAUUUUUUAUUAAUUUAUUUAUUUAUUUGAGACCGAUGAUAAACUUGUAUUUAAAGUUAUUGAUGCACACUAUAAAUUCAUAUAUUGAAAAUGAUAGGUGCUAAAAGUAACAUGUUUUAGUCUCAUUCUUAAUGUGUUUUUGGAUGAUUAUUCGAUAUAAAAUGGUUAAUUUUAUGCUCCUAAACUUUUCAAUUUAUGUUCUACACUUAAUAGAGCAUUUGGGAGCAAAAAAAGCGAAAAACGAGUGAAAAUAAAAAAUCGGAGCAAGUAUCAAAAGCCACACAGGCUGAGCCAUUCUACACGGGUUGGACACACAACCUAGUGAGCCACACGACCGUGUGCUAGACUGUGUGAAAAUCACAAAUUACACUCCAAACGGCGUGAAAACACGUUAAUUUUAAGGUUUUUUAAGCAUUUUAAUACCUAUACAUGACAAAGAUAAGAAGAGGGGAGAGAGCCGUCAAAAAAUAUUAAAGAAAACAACUUGAAAAACACUAUUGAAGCCAACUUUGAAGCAAAUUUUCAUCAAGAUUGAAGAUCUCAUUUUGAUUUCUUUGAAGUUUAUUAUGAGUUUCUUUAUUUAUUGUGGUUAGACUGUCUUUAGGAUGUUUUUAUUUGCUAUCAUGAACUAAUUUUCUAAAUACCUAGGGAGAUGAAUCCUAUCAUGAAUUAUGUUAUUUGAUUUCUAUUUUUACGCAAUAAAGACUUAGAUCUUAUUCUCAAUUAUGUGUGCUUAAUUCUUGGUUUAAUAUUUCUAGGCUAUUAAUCCAUGUUUGAUGUGCUUAAAUCAAAGGAGGAAUAAACCCUAUUUAAGAGUAGAUCUAGCGUAAAUGAGUGAAGUUGCAUGCAAUCCUAGAAAUAGGACAGCAUAAAUCUACUAGAUUAGAGCCAAAUCUAAUAGGGGAAUCCAUAAAUCGAGUUAAAACGAUGAUAGAGGUUUUAAUUAGAAAUAAAUUUCAAUUAAUUAACCUAGAGUCAGUUACUCUUAGUCUUGAAGAGAUAUAUUAGCAUAAUUUAGGGAUUCUUACAGAUCAAUAUACUAAGUGACAAAGUUGCAUAAUAUAGAUUGAUAAUGACAAAUGAAGUCUAGGUGGAUUCUUUCCAGGGUAUUGUCUCGCUUCUUGGUUAUUAUUUGAUUAUUUUCUUGAUUUGUGCUUUGUUGUGUUAUUUAGUUAAUUUUAGUUUCAAUCAAUCACUCCAAUUUAUCAGUUAAAUAAUAGAAAAGACGGUAAUUACUGGUACUUUUACUCUUCAUGAAAACGAUAUCUUUGCUCACUGUAGCUAUACUAUUAAUUGAUAGGUGCACUUGUCUGAAUUAGAUUUUUAGUUGGUUUACGACUGCAAUCAAAAAACUCAUUAAGUUAGCACAAACUAAGUUAAUUAUUCGUUGGUUGCUUCUUCUUUUUUCUGAAGUUUCGAUUUCGUCUUUUAUGUACAAUAAUUUUGAUAUAAAAAAAUCAGAUUCUCGACACUUAAUAUAUACCUUUGAAAUAUAAACAUAUGCAUCAAUUCUUUUAGGUUCCUAACAACUUACUUGUCCAAAAUUCUUGUAUCUUUCAGUUCUCCUGAUUGAAUCAAAAUUUGACUUCGUAAUUAUUUUUGAAGGACCUCAAACUAUCAAUUUAUAGCAUAAAUUUUCAAUAGCUUUCAUUCUUUACAAAUUGGUCCCUAAUUAAUCAACAAUGGUCUUAAAGCUUAAGCUUAGGGUCCCGUUGUUUCACUGAAAAUGGCUUCAGAAAAAUAAUUUCUAGAAAAUGACUUACUUUCAUAGAAAAGUUAAUAUUUUCUAUUGUUUGACAACUUUCUUAAAAACAUUUCAUAAAAACUGUUUUCAAUGAAACAAACAUGCAUUUGAGAUUUUCUUAUCUUUUCAUUAUUUAAUUAAGUUUAUUUUAUAUCUAUAAAUUUAUAUUUUACAUUUUUUUUGCAUAUAAUAAAAAUAUUUUUUUUAAUUCAGGUUCAUUACAAUGUCACUUUUUAGUUACAUGACUACCAAGUGAGUAUUUUUUUUAUUUAAAAAUGUGACAUCAACAAAAUUGACAAAAAUAAAUUAGCAAUGUCAACAAUUAGACUUGAUUUUCAAAUCUAAAAAGUAGAGGGACUAAAUUCUUGAAAAUAAAAGUACGGAGACUAAAUUGAAAAUUUGUGAAGAAUACAUAGACUUAUCACAUUUUUUAACUUUUAUACUACAAAAUAUUUAUCAUUAAUAUAUUUAUAAUUAUAAUAAAGAUUUAUUAUUAAAAUAUUAAUAUUAAAUAUUUUCAAUAAGAAGAAUAUUAUUUAAAGUUAUUGUUUUUAAAAUUUAUUAUUAAAAUAAAAUUGAAAUAUUAAAUAAUUUAUUAAAAUAAUAAAUUUUAUUAAUAAUUAAUUAUAUGACUAAAUAUAAAUGCUUAAAUAUGUAUGUUUAAUAAUAUUGAAAAAUAUAAUAUUUUAUAUUAAUAUUUUAAAUAUUUUUAAAAUAAAAAAUUUAUUUUCAAUAUAAUAAUAUUAAUCUUGCUUUAAAUGAAUUUUUAUAUAAAAAUAAAAUUACCUAUAGAUGAGCUCUUUUCCAGAAAAUGACUUAUACUUUUCAAAAGGAUAAGUCAUUUUAUAGGAAAAAGAGUUCAAUUUUACAUUGACCUGUAAGUCAUUUUCUGUUGACCAAACUGUUUUCUGUAAAACAAACAUAAGAAAAUGCAUAAAAUAUUUUCCGUAAAACCUUUUACAUUUAAACAAACGGACCCUUAAUUCAAGCUUGUUCCAACAUAACCCACUUCACUAUUAGCAUGACUCUUCCUUAUAUUAUGUUUAACCAUUAACCCAUCUCAUGAUUUCUAACAAAAAUUCUCUAAGUUCUCUUUAAUGGAAACUUGUAUUAGCUCCAACAAUAAGAAAUUCUAACCAUUGGGUUGGUUGUAUCAAGUUUCAUAGUUUAAAAAAACUAUAAAAAAAAUUAUUGAGAAAAAAAUUUGUUUACCUUUGAUGGCCUUGAUGUAGAACAACUUGGUUUCUUCUUCUACUUAGUUUAAAGAAUGCAUGAAGAAGAAGAAGAUUUCCCCUCUCCCUCUAUCUUAAAUAUAUAUAUAUAUAUAUAUAUAUAUAUAUAUAUAUAUAACCUAUUAAUCAAAGUAAUUAACUCACUAAUUAACCUUAAUUAGUUAUGAUCUAAUGGCCAUAAACUUAUCAUAAGAAAAUUAGUGGAAAUGUGUGGCAUUGAUAAUGGUUUGCCAAUAAUCAAACUUUGGGCAUGGUAAUAUUGCAAUCAAGUCCUUGGUUUAAUUACACUUUAAGUACUUGCUAAAUUCUCUAAUCAAUUCCCACUAGUUGGGUCACUUGAACAAUUGGGUCCAUGUAUUAUAGUUACAACUUAUCCAAUUUAAUCAAUUAAUGAUUUGACUUUAUAAUUUCAUGUACAACACACAAACUCCUCCGGUAAAUUCUCAAGCUAGCUUUAUUUAAAAAUUUGGCCUCAAAACUAGCUUUCCAAAUGUUCAUGAAAAUUGAGUAGUUACAUUAUGGUAUUUGUUUUGUUCAGCUUAUUUGUCAGGCUCUAUUCCUUUGAACUUAUGUUUGUUGACUUUGGUGUCGCUUAAAUGAAAAUGUGGUGAACAAUCUUAUGGAUAGGAGGAGUGUAUGAUUGAGUAUGUGUAACACCCCUAACCCACAUCCUUCGCCGAAUUAAAGUGACAAAGUGUUACUAUACAAAACAGAACAUUCCACGACAACACAUAAACAAUUAUGCAAAUUAUCAUUAAGUAACCAUAUUAAAAUAUAACGUAAGUAUCCAUUCGACCUUUAAAUCGAGCUUAUAUGGUCUUAAAAUAGCUUGGGAUCAAUCUAGGAUCAAUUUGGAACAAAACAUAAAUUUUAAGAAAAAUCUAAAAAUUUUGGGAAACAUGGGUCACACAACCGUGUGUCUAGGCCGUGUGACAUAUCCCAGACCUUGUGGGCAUUCAAAAUCAGGACACGCAAUCAUGUCCCAACCCGUAUGUCUACCUGUGUGAAUAUUCAAAAUAAGGUCUCACGGUCAUGUAGAGGCCAUGUGCUAAACCGUGUAUAUAUUCAAAUUAUGAACACAUGGCCGUGUCGCAAGCCAUGUGCUAGACCAUGCUCAAAACUAUUUUGAGACACACAGUUGUGUCUUAGGCUGUGUGAAAUUUUCACUUUAAACAACGACACACAGCCGUGUGCCAGUCCGUGUACACCAAAAUGUACCUUAAAAAUCAAAUUUACCAAAACAUGUUUACUUAGGCAUCAAGCAACCUAAUUGCCAUCAGUCAAACUCAUUCAAAACACAAUUAAACAAGUUCAAAACAUCCAUCCUAAGUGCCUAACCAUUGUGCCCUCAUUAACACCAUAAUUCAAUAAUCAAAUCAAUCACAUUUAAACCAAGAUUUAAACAUUCAAAUUAUAAAAUCAUCAUUAACCAUUCAUACCAAAAAACUGAUCAUUUUAAGUCAUAAACACCUAGCAAUAUUCACAUACUUUAUAAAGCUUAAGUACCAAUACCAAAUAAGAUCCAUACACACAUACAUAUCAAACAAAACACAUAUUCACAAGUAUCAUUCAAGAUUUACAACUUUACAUGUAAUUAACAUAAUUUCAAGUCACUUAUUACAUGUCAUACAACCCAAAACAAACACUAAACAAACUACCAAUAGUUUCUCGAAUAGUGUGAUUCUUGAAAUCAAAUUGAUCACCCGAAGCGUCAAAAAUAAAUCUACAAGAAAGCAUUGGAAGAGACACAAGUAAGCUUACUUAAGCUUAGUAAUUUCCACGGAUUUAAACAAUCAACUUACCGAAUAAACUUAUCUAAUAUAGGGUAUAGAAAAGUCAUAAACUAUAAUCAUGUCAUCCAUAAUCAGAUCACGAGUGAGUCUUAAACUUAAAUAUGAAUGAAUCAAUUCAAUCAAUUACAUUAUAUCAAUAAAUUAUACCCGAUGAACGUUGCAAUGGAUUUGGGUACACGGUUAACCAACCAAACACACCAAAUCACUCAAAUGAGCUAACCAUUUGAAAGUACACAUGGGCACCAAGUGCCAAGCCCGUAGGCUAACAUCCCUCCAAAACACACCUUGUCACCAAGUGCCAAGCCCGUAGGCUUUACAUCCGCCCCCGAAACACACCUGAAGCACUGCAAUAUAACGCGAUAGUUCACAACAAAUGUUGAACUUUAGUAUAUUCAAUAAACAUGAAUAAGAUCAGAAUCAUCAUCUCCACAUCCACCAAUCUUGUACAGCGCAUGAUAUAACCUAUUGGCAUGCCAAUUGUAUCCUAUCAUACAUUCAUCGGCUCACAUAUUUGUCAUUUAACAACAUUUAAUACAAUUUCUUUCCCAAAUCAUUUCACUUACCACAAUGCAAUACUUCCAUGUCAUUUAAUAAUUUCAAUCCACAAGUAAUUAAAUAUUUAAAUUAUACUAAAAUUAAACUGUACAAACUCACUAGGGCCAAACUACAGAAACAACAAAAGUUCAGGGACUAAUCAACAACCUUCCCGUUUUCCACAAUUAUCAACUUGAUCUUGAUCUAUAAUAUAAUUUAUUUCAAUUAUUAGCCUCAAUUUUCAUAUUCUAAUCAUUUCAAUACAUAUGAUCUCUUAUUUAUAAAUUUACACAAUUAUCCAAAAUUUUUACACAUUAUUCAAUUUAGUCCCUAUAACCAAAUCAAGCUUAGUUCUACAAUUAAAUUCUCAAUCCAUAGAACUAAAUUUUAACCACAUCCAAAACAAUCCAUAUAUGCUAAAAUUUUCAAGAGUAACAUGUCUAUUUCAAUUAAAUCACUAAACAUCAAAUUUUUGUAAAAAUAAAUUUACAAACUCAAUACAUAUAGUCACCAAGCUUCAACCCAAACUAUUUACUACUACAAAUCUUCGAAAAUUUCAAUACAUAAUUUCUAUACUUUGAUAACUUCACAAAUAAACUCCAAAACUAGCUAAAUUCCAUUAUCAAUAGCUCAAAACUUAAAAUUUAUCAUAAAUAAACCCAGAAAAUACUUACAUGCAUUAAAAACUAACAAAAACCAAGCUCCCAAGCCUUAGAACAAUGGUGUUUCGGCCAAACCUAAGAAAAAUAAAGAAGAUGCCCACUACCCCACUUUUUGUUUUACUUUCCUUUUAUUAUUAUAAUAAUCUUUAUUUAUGAAAUUAUAACAUUAUCAAACACCAAUUUAAUAUUUUUUCUCUCUUUACCUCCCAUAUUAACUAACUAUAUAUGGGCUAAUGGCAACAUAACCCCCCUUAGUUUACUAAUUUAAGCUAUUAUAUUAAAAUAAAUCUAUAAUAAGCAACUUUUCCACCUAUUACAAAUUAAUCCUUUUUCUUUAAUCAAUUCACUAUACGUUAAUUUUUCUAAAUUAACCAAAACUUAAUAUGACACUGAUGACUUUGUAAAUAUUAAAUAAUUAAUAAUUCUAGACUGACACGUCGAAAGUGUAGUCCUAAAACUAUUAUUUUCGACACCACUGGAAAUCGGACUGUUAUAGUAUAGUUCUACCUCUUAGGGGAGACAUAUUCUAGUUUCCUUUGACUUGUUUAGAUGAUAUGUUAAUCAUUAGCUACUGGUUUUGUCAAAAUGCCAAUGGUGAGAUUGUUUGAACUUUGUUCAUGUUCGAACAGUAGAUUAAACAAUGCUUUGAUGCAUUCAAAGAAUUUAUGUUGGCAUGUUUGACUUUAUAAUGAAAUGGCUUAUGAUUUAAUCUCGUUGAGUAGCAAAUGGGGGGGGGUGAUUUUGUGUUAUAACAUGUGAUGAUCAUUAUCUUUCAAUCAACUACCUUGAAGAAGAACGGGAGAAGUUUGAACUUUUGUGGACUUCGUAAUAUUUGAAGCUGCUAAGAUACUUGUUUAUAAAGAAUUUUAUGAUAUAACUAAUCAAAAUAAUUCAUGUCAUAAUUUUUGGAGUUUUAAACUUAUUAAGACUCUAGUAUUGGCCUAUAAAUAGGCAUAAUUACCGCACAUUGAAAAUAGGCUUUUGGAGGGUUUAAGUUGGAUACUUUGGUGAAUUUUUCUUGUGUUUUAUACAAACACUCUUUUUUUUAGUUUUAUUGGGGGAUAUUUGCUUGAUUGUAAGUGAGAUAUUUUGGAGAGAGUGAUUUGUAAUAAUUUAAGUUCAAUAUUGAAGUUGCAAAUAACUACAAGGUAAAGGUAAUUAAUUUGGACUUUAGUCAAUAGUUAAUCGAGACGAAUUGUAAAUAAAAAUUAUUUUUUAAGCGAAACUCUACAGAAUAAAACUAGUGAACUCAAACUGCGUUAACAAAUAUUACAUAUUAUCUUUCCUUACUUUACUCGUUACUUUACCUUAUUUUAAAAAAAAUUUGUCAUAAUGUAUUAUGUUUGAACCUUUCCGAUCGAAAUAAAAAAAUGAGAUUGAAAUUGUGAUAAAGCUAAAAAAAGUUACAACAAAUAUGAUUAAUAUUAUUUUUAUAUAUACUUAAUAAAAGUUAAAAAGGGAAUUACAUUUAUUGAAUAUUAUUUUAUUUAAUAAAAUAUAAUUAAUAUAUUUUAUAUAAAAUUUAAACAUUUUAUUGUUUGUUAGCUAAAUUUUAUUAUUUUUAUUUUCUUUAUGAAUAAAAUUAAUUUUCCUAAAAUUUGAGAUAAAAAAAUGUUAUAUAGAAAAUUAAAUUUGUAAAAAGUGCAGUUCAUACUUUAUAAUUAUUAUAAAUGAAAAAAUAUUAUGAAAGAUAAAUAUUAAACAUAAAAAAAUCAAUUCUAAAAUAAACUUAACUAUUGUAAUAAAAUAUUUUUAUAUAAUAAAAAAAGAAAUUAUAGAAAAGACUUAUUGGAUAUAUUUCCAAUUUUCGACAUUCAUAAAAUAAAAAAUAAAAAAAAAGUGGUCCUAAUAAUUUAUUUAUACAAAAACAAAAAAUGGUCCUAUUAAUUUACCUCACAUUUGAAAUGUGUUAUAUGUAAUAAUAUUAAUAUCUUUAUCAAUUUUGGACUUUCACCUUUCCCAUCUCUAUAAAUUUGCAUGCAGAACUAAAGCAACACAUAUCAACACAAUCGGUAUAACCAUGAAAACCACAACAGCUUCGGUGUUUCUUCUUUUCAUCAUCUUCUCGAUCACACCAUCGUCCUUUUCGUUUGGUGUGGCCAACACUACAAACGCUCCUGUGCUCGACAGUGAUGGCAACGAGCUCCGCACUGGCACCCCAUACUUCGUUGUGUCGUCGAUAUGGGGUGCUGGUGGUGGGGGGCUUGACCCAGGCAGGCCUAGAGGAAAGCCAUGCCCGGAAGUCGUUGCUCAAAGAGGAUCUGGUGACAAUGGUAUUCCGGUGAUAUUUUCUAAUUCGGACUCCAAAGAUGGCGUUGUUCGCCUAUCCUCUGACAUAAACAUAGCGUUCGUUCCCCUCAGACCCAAAUUUUGCGAAACAACAACGGUGUGGAAGGUCGCUGAUUACGACCACUCAGCCGGAAAAUGGUGGGUGAUAACCGAUGGGGUUAAAGGGAACCCAGGUGCCAACACUUUGACCAGUUGGUUUAGAAUAGAGAAGACGACUACUGAUUUUGAUUACACAUUUAAGUACUGCCCCGCAGUAUGUGGAACAUGCCCAGCCUUAUGCAACAAAAUUGUGAGAGACUUUGAUGGAGAAAUGGUACGUUUGGCUCUCACCACUGGCCAUGGAUGGCCAUUUAUCUUUAAGAAAGUUGGAAAAUCAGCCAUGGAGAUUGAACAAGUUGUUCAUAAUUAGAUUGAAAGCAAUCAUUAUGCAUGAACUAGUAGUUACUACAUAAUAUUAGCUUCAAGUAAAUAAUGCUGAGGGAACUUAUUGUUAAGAUUGCCUUGUUUGAAGCGGCAGCAUGUAUAUAUAUAUGCUUGCUUACAAGGUUUGUCUCUCAGAGUCCUCCUCUUUGUACUCUUUUCAGCUUAAUGAAUAAACUGUUUACUUAUUUACUUCUUUUGUUGCCAUUGAUUCUAGUAGCAUUCGACUCAUUAACUUGGAUACAUUACCUUGUAAUUAACCAAAAAGUUAUGUGUAUAUGUAUAAAGAGUGUGUGAGAGAAAAAAUAGAAUACCAAGUACCAAGUGAAAAAUGUUAAUACUAGGAUUAUUCAAAGCGAUUUCAAUGAACAGAAAUGGAAUAGUCGUCGGGUGGUUAGGGCAUUUUAUCUUUAGAGAUAAAGAAGGUUGGUUCAUGUUCGGAGUUUGUGGCUACUCAUUUAAUAAUAUCGUUUUUAAAGUUUAAACUUGUAUCACAUUUUAAACACGUAAUGUAUCUUACCAUUACAUCCAACAAUAUUAACCAUUUACUCUAUUGUAUUGUAUUCUAUUCUAUUAUUAAUUAAUGAUUAUGAUAUGUAUUAAGUUUAAGAUGAAUUUUCUCAGUAAUGUAUAUCAAUGAAAUCAAAUAUUUGUAUUUAAAGUUUUAACUCCACAUUAACUUUUUCUUUAUUUUGUCCGUUUGCUGGCGAUGAUUAGGAGAUUAAUGGUUGGUAUUUGUGGUUAGUAGCUUAUAACUCGAGGGUUGAUAGUGGCCCGACUCCACUUAAAUAAAAAAUUUUACAUUUAAAUUUCUUUAUAAUUUAUAAAAUUUUAAAUUAAUAAUAAAAAAAUUAUAUUUUAACUCUCUAAAAUUAAUAAAAAUGAUAAAAAUGUAGAAGUAAAUUUAUACAAUUAAUGAUAAUAAUGAUAAGAAGUUGUUUCCUAUCACAUGGAAAUUUAUGGCAUCUUCCAUUUGGUUUUAUAUUUGUCCAUUUGCUUGGUUAAGAGUUGAAAGACAAACUAUAAUUAAAUAUACAAAACCAAACGAAUUUCAAGGGUUUUCUCUUCAAUUAUUGUCGAAUUUAGCUAAUUAUUAGUAAUAUUUAUUAUUUAAUUAUAAAAAUUAUAAAAUAGUGACUUAAUUAUAAAUAUAUAUAUAUAUAUAAAAUAGCCAUCUAAUUAUUUAAUUUUUUCUUUUUUAUCAUCACCGGAAUAAUGGUGGUAAUUUUUAUAAUUGACAUAAUAGUAACUUUAACCAUUAAUAAUUAUACAUUAUGUCAAUUUAGUCUUGAUUCUAAAAAAUUUAACCUUUGACAUUUACACAUAUAUAAUUUGAUAUUUUUAUAAUUUUAUUUUUUACUAAAAAUAAAUCAUGAAAAUAAUAAAAUAUGCAUAAAAAUAAAAAUACAGCUACCGACUAUAUCUCUUAUUGUAGAUUUAUAACAAUUAUCUUUUCAUAAAGAUAUUUUAUUAUAAAAUAUAUAAUAAGCACUUCCCUGUAACAAAUAAAAUUGUAGUAAACAAAUGAAAUUAUUAUAAAGAAGAAUUUUCUAUUUUCAUAAUAAUAAUAAUAAUAAAAGAAAAGAAAAAAGUGGUUCUAUUAAUUCACCUCACAUUUGAAAUAUGUUAUAUGUAAUAAUAUUAAUGUCUUUAUCAAUUUUGGUGGUUCAUCCUUUCCCAUCUCUAUAAAUUUGCAUGCAGAACUAAAGCAACACAUAUCAACACAAUCUGUAUAACCAUGAAAACCACAACAGCUUCGGUGUUUCUUCUUUUCAUCAUCUUCUCAAUCACACCAUUGUCCUUUUCGUUUGGUGUGGCCAACACUACAAACGCUCCUGUGCUCGACAGUGAUGGCAACGAGCUCCGCACAGGCACCCCAUACUUCGUUGUGUCGUCGAUAUGGGGUGCUGGUGGUGGGGGGCUUGCCCUAGGCAUGCCUAGAGGAAAGCCAUGCCCGGAAGUCGUUGCUCAAAGAGGAUCCGGUGACGAUGGUAUUCCGGUGAUAUUUUCUAAUUCGGACUCCAACGAUGGCGUUGUUCGCCUAUCCUCUGACAUAAACAUAGAGUUCAUUCCCCUCAGACCCAGAUUUUGCCAAACAACAACGGUGUGGAAGGUCGAUGAUUACGACCACUCAGCCGGAAAAUGGUGGGUGAUAACCGAUGGGGUUAAAGGGAACCCAGGUGCCAACACUUUGACCAGUUGGUUUAGAAUAGAGAAGGCGGGUGAUCUUGAUUACACAUUUAAGUACUGCCCCGCUGUACGUGGAACAUGCCCAGCCUUAUGCAACAAAAUUACGAGAGACUCAGAUGGAGAAAUGAUACGUUUGGCUCUCUCCGCUGGCCAUGGAUGGCCAUUUUUCUUUAAGAAACUUCAAACAUCAGCCAUGGAGAUUGAACAAGUUGUUCAUAAUUAGAUUGAAAGCAAUCAUUAUGCAUGAACUAGUAGUUACUAUACAAUAUUAGCUUCAAGUAAAUAAUGCUGAGAGAACUGAUUGUUAAGAUUGCCUUGUUUGAAGCAGCAGCAUGUAUAUAUAUAUAUAUGCUUGCUUACAAGGUUUGUCUCUCAGAGUCCUUCUCUUUGUACUCUUUUCAGCUUAAUAUAUAAACUGUCUACUUAUUUACUUCUUUUAUUGCCAUUGAUUCUAGUAGUAUUAGACUCAUUAACUUGGAUACAUUGUCUUGUAAGAGAUAGCUUAUCUCUUAACAACUGUUUGGGUCAACAAAAUUAAUGUAUAUAUGAAAACGAAUAUUGAAUUUGGAUGUCCAAUCAAUUUUUUUUAAUUAAUUAAUUAAAAAGAAUUGUUUUAAUUCAAAAAAUCUAAAAGAAUUUGAUAAAAAAUGUGGAAGGGCACACUUGUAUGAUGAAUAGUAAUGAUAAUAAUCGUUUUCCUAGCACAAGUAUGGGAUUCGUCCAUUUGGUUUUAUAUUUAUCCACUUGCCUGAGUGUUUAAGAGUUAAAAGGACAAAACUAUUAAGUAGAAAACACCAAACGAAUAUGAAGGCUUUUGUCUUCUUCAAUUAGUAUGACCUAUAUUUCUUAUUAAACUUCGUAUUUUACAUUCAAUAUCAUCAUCACAAUCAUUUUAAUUUAUUUUCAUGAAUAAACUUUUAUGUCCCAUUUUAAUUGAAUCAUUAAAAAUUAUUAAUUGAAUUUUUUUUAAGUCAAGUGAUACUAAUUUGAUUUUUUUAAAAAAGUUGUUUGAAUUAAUUUGAUUUUCGUGUCAUAAUUGACAUAAAUGGCCAUUGUGAAUGGCAACAUCAAUAGUUAUUGAGUACAGCGGCUAAAAUUUUCAGUUAAAAAAAAAGAAUGAAAGGAAAACAAAAAGAAAAACGUGGAAAGAAAGAAAGAAAGAAUAAUAAUAAUAAUAAAUAAAUAAAAUAGAAUUGUGGGGGCGAUGCUUUUGAACAAAUCUUGAUUUAAACUAUAUAAAGAAAAUAUGUGUUAUAUAUAUAAUUAAUUAUGUACUUAUACUUAAUAUAUUAUAUAUCUAAUGUCAUAUUUUCAUAUUCUCAGAAAGUGGUGACAUACAAAUACUUGAUUCGAUUUAUUUCUUUAGCUCCCCGUGAAUUGUAUGUUUGUAACAUUAGGGACAGAAUUUCUUCAAUUAUCCAAUUGACUGGACGUAUUGUGUCGAUUUUUUUUUAGUAAUAUACCUAGAAAUACCCGUUGAUUCUUUAUAAACGCUGUUUCGAACACAACUGGUACACUCUAAAAUAAUUUACUUGAACAUCAUUACUCUUAGCCAUGAACCUCCUUUGAGUUUUUAAUUCACCCAACUUUUCUAUUUUCCGAUCAAAAGCAAAGAAGAAAGGAAUGAAAAAAAAAGAAAGAAAUCAAAGUUGCUAACUCAAAACCAAAUCCUGAAAAUUUUCAUUUCAAUGAAUAUAGUAAGUAAAUAUAGAUUUAUAGUAAUAGCAAAUAAUAAGAAUUAAGUAAUAUAACGAUUUUUAAUUCUAUUUAGAAUCAAUUAAAAUAUUCAAUUAAAUAUUCAAUUAAAAUAAAUUAAACUGUAUAAAUUUUAUAAUUUUAAAUUAUUAUUUUUGUAUUAAUUUAAAAACAAAAUAAAUAUUAUAUACAAUGAUUUAGUUACAGCGUGUCAGCUUGAAGUCUAAGACUUUAUAACAUAUAAAUUUAAUAGAUAAUUAAUAACUAAAAAAUUAAAUAGCAAAAGCAUAACUGCGCCACUUCUCACCAUUUUAAUGUAUGCAACUUAUUAUAUAUUUAUAUAUAUUAUCAUUUUAUUUUAAAUAAUUUAAUUUUUAUAAAUUUAGGGAUAAAUCUCAAAAUUAUACAUGAACUUUAAUUUAAUAUGCAAUUGUAUAAAUAAACUUUAAUUUGGUACAAUUAUACACGUGAUACUUUAAUUGUGGUUUAAAUACUCACUUGAAACUUUAGUUUUGAUUUAAUAAUGCAUAUUUAAAUAAAUAAAUACAUCAAUUUUUUUAUAUUGGGUAAAUAUAAUUAUUUAUGUAUGCAAUAUAUAACAUAAAAUGAUGUUAUAUCAAUAAUUGUGUUAAUAAUUUUCAAGAAUUGGAUCAAAUCAAAAUUUUAUGUAUAAAAUUGAACAAAAUCAAAGUUAAUGUAUACAAUUGCACAUUAAACCAUAAUUCAUGUAUAUUUUUUUUGUAUAUAUCCCAUAAAUUUAUUUCAUUAACUUUUUACCUAUAUCAUAUAUAGAGUUGUUCGUGAACCGAGCCAAGGAAUGCCCACUCGAAAAAAUGAGAGGGUUUUGGAAAAAAAUAUAUGCCUAAAAAAUGGGCUUGGAUAAAAAGACAAGGCCCGUUUAGAAAAUGAACCGGCAUUGAGUAGGGUUUUUUUGUCCGGGCUCAGCCUAACCCGAAUUUUCAAUUAAAAAAAACCCUGUUGUUUUUGCUGCUAUUUUUCCAUAUCUUGGUGUUGUUUUCUCACUUUUUGCCGCUAUUUUAUUACCAUUUCACUAUUAUGUUACUACUAUUUUUUUUAAUGUUUGGAUAUAGUAUAAUAAUUGUUUUAUUGUUAAUUUUAUCACUAUUUUAGAGACAUUUGUUUGUUAUGUUGUACUUAUUUUAGUUUUUAUUUAAGUAUAAAAAAAUUUAAAAUUUAUUUUCAAUUUAUUGAUAAACAUGUAAUUUAAUAUUUUCAGUGUAUUUAUUGUAUUAUAUUUGUUAAAUUUAUAUAAAAUUAAAAUUAAAAAAAUAUGGACCGAGAUGGGAGUUUAACAAAAAUUUAGGCCCAUUUUUCAAGUCGGGCCGAUCUCNNNNNNNNNNNNNNNNNNNNNNNNNNNNNNNNNNNNNNNNNNNNNNNNNNNNNNNNNNNNNNNNNNNNNNNNNNNNNNNNNNNNNNNNNNNNNNNNNNNNNNNNNNNNNNNNNNNNNNNNNNNNNNNNNNNNNNNNNNNNNNNNNNNNNNNNNNNNNNNNNNNNNNNNNNNNNNNNNNNNNNNNNNNNNNNNNNNNNNNNNNNNNNNNNNNNNNNNNNNNNNNNNNNNNNNNNNNNNNNNNNNNNNNNNNNNNNNNNNNNNNNNNNNNNNNNNNNNNNNNNNNNNNNNNNNNNNNNNNNNNNNNNNNNNNNNNNNNNNNNNNNNNNNNNNNNNNNNNNNNNNNNNNNNNNNNNNNNNNNNNNNNNNNNNNNNNNNNNNNNNNNNNNNNNNNNNNNNNNNNNNNNNNNNNNNNNNNNNNNNNNNNNNNNNNNNNNNNNNNNNNNNNNNNNNNNNNNNNNNNNNNNNNNNNNNNNNNNNNNNNNNNNNNNNNNNNNNNNNNNNNNNNNNNNNNNNNNNNNNNNNNNNNNNNNNNNNNNNNNNNNNNNNNNNNNNNNNNNNNNNNNNNNNNNNNNNNNNNNNNNNNNNNNNNNNNNNNNNNNNNNNNNNNNNNNNNNNNNNNNNNNNNNNNNNNNNNNNNNNNNNNNNNNNNNNNNNNNNNNNNNNNNNNNNNNNNNNNNNNNNNNNNNNNNNNNNNNNNNNNNNNNNNNNNNNNNNNNNNNNNNNNNNNNNNNNNNNNNNNNNNNNNNNNNNNNNNNNNNNNNNNNNNNNNNNNNNNNNNNNNNNNNNNNNNNNNNNNNNNNNNNNNNNNNNNNNNNNNNNNNNNNNNNNNNNNNNNNNNNNNNNNNNNNNNNNNNNNNNNNNNNNNNNNNNNNNNNNNNNNNNNNNNNNNNNNNNNNNNNNNNNNNNNNNNNNNNNNNNNNNNNNNNNNNNNNNNNNNNNNNNNNNNNNNNNNNNNNNNNNNNNNNNNNNNNNNNNNNNNNNNNNNNNNNNNNNNNNNNNNNNNNNNNNNNNNNNNNNNNNNNNNNNNNNNNNNNNNNNNNNNNNNNNNNNNNNNNNNNNNNNNNNNNNNNNNNNNNNNNNNNNNNNNNNNNNNNNNNNNNNNNNNNNNNNNNNNNNNNNNNNNNNNNNNNNNNNNNNNNNNNNNNNNNNNNNNNNNNNNNNNNNNNNNNNNNNNNNNNNNNNNNNNNNNNNNNNNNNNNNNNNNNNNNNNNNNNNNNNNNNNNNNNNNNNNNNNNNNNNNNNNNNNNNNNNNNNNNNNNNNNNNNNNNNNNNNNNNNNNNNNNNNNNNNNNNNNNNNNNNNNNNNNNNNNNNNNNNNNNNNNNNNNNNNNNNNNNNNNNNNNNNNNNNNNNNNNNNNNNNNNNNNNNNNNNNNNNNNNNNNNNNNNNNNNNNNNNNNNNNNNNNNNNNNNNNNNNNNNNNNNNNNCCCAUCCCAUGAACAACUCUAAUUAUAUAUAUAUGUCAUUCUCUAAUAAUAAUAAUAAUAAUAAUAAUAAUAAUAAUAAGUGGAUAACAUAAAACUAGUAGUAAAGAGUAAGAAGACAAAGAAGAAUUAAGUGGAUAACAUAAAACGUGCGAAAACAUUUAUCUUCAAUUCUGACACAUAAAGCUAGUAUUUUUGGGUAAAGUAUAGAAAUGGUGAUUAAAUUAUUGUUGAUGUUCUAUUUUAAUUUUUAAUUUUUCUAUUUUAGUUAUUAAAUUAUUUGAAAUUAAAAUUUUUGGUUAUCAAAUGUUAACAGUAGUUUGAAAUUUAACAGAAAUAUUGAUGUGAACUUUUCUUAUUGAUUUAAUAAUAAAUUUAGCCUUCUAAUAUUUAUAUAUUCUAUUAAUUUGAUACUAAAUAUAAAAAUUUAACAAAUUUAACCUUCAAUAUUUACAAAUUUUGUUAUUUUAAUUCAAAUUCUAAAAAAAAAUUCAAUAAAUUUAACCCUCAACAUUUAAAAAAUUGAUAAAUUUCAAUUUUUAAAAUUUUGUAAAUUCCUAAAAUAUAAAGCAUCAUUCUCCACCUCAUAGGAUUCCAUGUAAAUGGAUUUUCUUGAAUUCUUUACCAAGUUGUCUUGAGUUUAAUUUCUUCUUAUUUAGUUUGUGGAAUAAAUGGCAUAUAGUUAGAUGUCACUGCAGCUGACAAUGAAAGGUUUGACAAAGUUGAUAAAUUCAGAGCUUUUGAUGCUGAGCUUCAAAUCAGUCUUGCCUCCACUCACCCAAGAAAUCAACUUUACAAUUUUUAUUGAGUCUUAACUCGAUUAAUAUGAGUAUUGUUAUCAAUAUAGGAGGAAGUGAAUUUUAGUGCGUUGAAACACAUUAUCUUCUUAUUGAUGAAUUGAGGAGGGGCUAUGAAUAGUUUUAAAUAUUAUAUUAAAAAAGCAGAGAUAAUUGAAACCUACAAUAAUAUUGUUCAAAAAAAUUACCUAAAAACACGAAAUCUUACUCCCUGAAUUUUCUAGAAACACAAAUAUUUCUCCCUGCCUUUGAUGGUGUAUACAUGCAUGGCCAUGUGUGAGCUCCUGCAUUUUAACUAAUCAACACAGAUAAUACCCUCAAUGAGACAUUAAAAUUAACUCUUUUUUUUUGUUUUUUCAUAAAAUUUAUAAUUUUGUAUUUCAAUGAAAAAAUCUAAAUCUAAGUUGAUCCGAGUCCAAAAAAAUCUGAAGCUGUAAAAAGUUUGAUCUGAGGCUGCUCAUUUGCCACCUCUAAUAACCAUUUGAUAGAGGUUUAAUAUAAAGGAAUUUAGAUUUUAGGAAUUUACAAAAUUUUUAAAAUUAAUUUUUUAUUUGUAAAUGCUAAGGGAUAAAUCUAUUGAAGUUUUUAAAAUUUGAACUGAAAUGUCAAAAUUUGUAAACAUUGAAGGCUAAAUUUGUUUAUUUUUUCUAUUUAAGACCAAUCUGAUAGAAUGUGUACACAUUAGAAGACUAAAUUUAUUAUUAGACCAAUAAAAAAAUGCCCAACUUAACGCUUUCUCAAAUUUCAAACCGAUGUUAAUAUUCAAUGACCAAAAUUUUUUAUUUCAAAUAGUUUAGUGACCAGAAUAGAAAAAAAAAUUAAAAGUUUGAUGACCAAAAUAGAACGCGGAUAAUAAUUUAAUGAUAUUUUUAUACUUUAUCUGUUUUUUUAUGAUUAUUUAUACAUAUCAAGUGUAGCUAAUUUAGGGAAAAGAAUCAAUGGUUAAGGUUGUUGUUGAUACUUAAUUAUCAGCGUCCAAAUUUUGCUAAUGUAAUUUUCCUUAUCAUAGUUUGUAUCUUAAUUUUGUUACCAAAAAAAUAUUAGUAAUAAAUAAUAUAUGCUCGAGAAAUGUACGUAUGAUUGAUUUAAACAAUACAUGUUGGAGUAAUUUACUGAUGGAUUUAAAAUAAAAUUUAAAAAUAAAAUAAAAUUUUAAAAAUCCAAAAGUAUUUUUUCUUUUAAAAAAAUUUAAAAAUGAUUUUUAAAUUAUUUACAUGAUUGAUUUAAAGGAUUUUUUUUCUAUUAAUUAUUUUUAUAUUAAAUUUAUUUUACUUUAUGUAUAACAUUUAAAGGGUUUGUAUAUAUGCUAACUCGCGAGUCAAUUAAAAUUUGUAUUAUAUUCAUUGAAUUUUUUAAAAAUAUAUUAUUUAUUUAUUUAUUUAUUUAUUUAUUUAUUUGAGACCCAUGAUAAACUUGUAUUUAAAGUUAUUGGUGCACACUAUAAAUUCAUAUAUUGAAAAUGAUAGGUGCUAAAAGUAACAUGUUUUAGUCUCAUUCUUAAUGUGUUUUUGGAUGAUUAUUCGAUAUAAAAAAGUUAAUUUUAUGCUCCUAAACUUUUCAAUUUACAUUCUACACUUAAUAGAGCAUUUAGGAGCAAAAGAAGCGAAAAACGAGCGAAAAUAAAAAAAAAAUAGGAGCAAGUCUCAAGAGCCACACAGGCUGAGCCAUUCCACACGGGUUGGACACAUAACCGAGUGAGCCACACGACCAUGUGCUAGACUGUGUGGAAAUCGCAAACUACACUCCAAACGGCAUGAAAACACAUUAAUUUUAAGGUUUUUUAAGCAUUUUAAUACCUAUACAUGACAAAGAUAAGAAGAGGGGAGAGAGCCGUCAGAAAAUAUUAAAGAAAACAACUUGAAAAACACCAUUGAAACCAACUUUGAAGCAAAUUUUCAUCAAGAUUGAAGAUCACAUUUUGAUUUCUUUGAAGUUUAUUAUGAGUUUCUUUAUUUAUUGUGGUUAUACUGACUUUAGGAUGUUUUUAUUUGCUAUCAUGAACGAAUUUUCUAAAUACCUAAGGAGAUGAAUCCUAUCAUGAAUUAUGUUAUUUGAUUUCUAUUUUUACGUAAUAAAGACUUAGAUCUUAUUCUCAAUUAUGUGUGCUUAAUUUUUGGUUUAAUAUUUCUAGACUAUUAAUCCAUGUUUGAUGUGCUUAAAUCAGAGGAGGAAUAAACCCUAUUUAAGAGUAGAUCUAGCGUAAAUGAGUGGAGUUGCAUGCAAUUCUAGAAAUAGGACAACAUAAAUCUACCGUAUUAGAUCCAAAUCUAAUAGGGGAAUCUAUAGAUCGAGUUAAUACGAUGAUAGAGGUUUUAAUUAGAAAUAAAUUUCAAUUAAUUAACCUAGUCUUGAAGAGAUAUAUUAGCAUAAUUUAGAGAUUUUUACAGAUCAAUAUACUAAGUGACGACGUUGCGUAAUAUAGAUUGAUAAUGACAGAUGAAGUCUAGGUAGAUUCUUUCCUAGGUAUUGUCUCGCUUCUUGGUUAUUAUUUGAUUAUUUUCUUGAUUUGUGCUUUGUUGUGUUAUUUAGUUAACUAAUUUAGUUAAUUUUAGUUUCAACCAAUCACUCCAAUUUAUCAGUUAAAUAAUAGAAAAUACGGUAAUUACUGGUACUUUUAGUCUUCGUAAAAACGAUAUCUUUGCUCACCAUAACUAUACCAUUAAUUGAUGUGCACUUGUCUGAGUUAGAUUUUUAGUUGGUUUACGACUGCAAUCAAAAAACUCAUUAAGUUAGCACAAACUAAGUUAAUUAUUCGUUGGUUGCUUUAUUUUUUUCCUGAAUUUUCGAUUUCAUCUUUCAUUUUGUACAAUAAUUUUGAUAUAAAAAUAUCAAAUUCUCGACCCUUAAUAUAUACCUUUGAAAUAUAAACAUAUGCAUCAAUUCUUUUAGGUUCCUCACAACUUACUUAUCCAAAAUUCUUGUAUCUUUCAGUUCUCCUGAUUGAAUCAAAAUUUGACUUCGUAAUUAUUUUUUAAGGACCUCAAACUAUCAAUUUAUAGCAUAAAUUUUCAAUAGCUUUCAUUCUUUACAAAUUGGUCCCUAAUUAAUCAACAAUGGUAUUAAACCUUAAGCUUAGGGUCCCGUUGUUUCACUGAAAAUGGCUUUCGAAAAAUAAUUUCUAGAAAAUGACUUACUUUCCUAGAAAAGUUAAUAUUUUCUGAUGUUUGGAUGAAUCAGUGUAAAAUAUUUUAUAUUGUUUGACAAAUUUCUUAAAAAUAUUCAUAAAAGCUGUUUUCAAUGAAACAAACAUGCAUUUGAGAUUUUCUUAUCUUUUCAUUGUUUAAUUAAGUUUAUCUUAUAUCUAUAAAUUUAUAUUUUACAUUUUUUUGCAUAUAAUAAAAAUAUAUAUUUUUUAAUUCAGGUUCACUACAAUGUCACUUUUUAGUUACAUGACUACCAAGUGAGUAUUUUUUUUAUUUAAAAAUGUGACAUCAACAAAAUUGACAAAAAAAAUUUUAGCAAUGUCAACAAUUGGACUUGAUUUUCAAAUCUGAAAAGUAGAGGGACUAAAUUCUUGAAAAUAAAAGUAUAGAGACUAAAUUGAAAAUUUGUGAAGAAUACAUAGACUUAUCACAUUUUUUAACUUUUAUACUACAAAAUAUUUAUCAUUAAUAUAUUUAUAAUUAUAAUAAAUAUUUAUUAUUAAAAUAUUAAUAUUAAAUAUUUCCAAUAAGAAGAAUAUUAUUUAAAAUUAUUAUUUUUAAAAAAUUUUAUUAAAAUAAAAUUGAAAUAUUAAAUAAUUUAUUAAAAUAAUUAAUUUUAUGACUAAAUAUAAAUAAUUAAAUAUGUAUGUUUAAUAAUAUUGGAAUAUAUAAUAUUUUAUAUUAAUAUUUUAAUUAUUUUUAAAAAUAAAAAUAAAAAUUAUUUUCAAUAUAAUAAUAUUAAUAUUGAUUUAAAUGAAUUUUUAUAUAAAAAUAAAAUUACCUAUAGAUGAGCUCUUUUUCCAGAAAAUGACUUACACUUUUCAAAAGGAUAAGUCAUUUUAUAGGAAAAAGAGUUCAAUUUUACAUUGACCUGUAAGUCAUUUUCCGAUGACCAAACUGUUUACUGUAAAACAAACAUAAGAAAAUACAGAAAAUAUUUUCUGUAAAACCUUUUACAUGUAAACAAACGGACCCUUAAUUCAAGCUUGUUCUAACAUAACCCACUUCACUAUUAGCAUGACUCUUCCUUAUACUAUGUUUAACCAUUAACCCUUCUCAUGAUUUCUAACAAAAAUUCUCUAAGUUCUCUUUAAUGGAAACUUCUAUUAGCUUCAACAAUAAGAAAUUCUAACCAUUGGGUUGGUUGUAUCAAGUUUCAUACUUUAAAAAACUAUAAAAAAAAUUAUUUAGAAAACAAUUUGUUUACCUUUGAUGGCCUUGAUGGAGAACAACUUGGUUUCUUCUUCUACUUAGUUUAAAGAAUGCAUGAAGAAGAAGAAGAUUUCCCCUCUCCCACUGUUUUAAAUAUAUAUAUAAAUAACCUAUUAAUCAAGGUAAUUAAGUCACUAAUUAACCUUAAUUAGCUAUGAUCUAAUGGCCAUAAACUUAUCAUGAGAAAAUUAGUGGAAAUGUGUGGCAUUGAUAAUGGUUUGCCAAUAAUCAAACUUUGGGCAUGGUAAUAUUGCAAUCAGGUUUUUGGUUUAAUUACACUUUUAAGUACUUGCUAAAUUCUGUAAUCAAUUCCCACUAGGUGGGUCACUUGAACAAUUGGGUCCAUGUAUUAUAGUUACAACUUAUCCAAUUUAAUCAAUUAAUGAUUUGACUUUAUAAUUUCAUGUACAACACACAAACUCCUCCGGUAAAUUCUCAAGCUAGCUUUAUUUAAAAAUUUGGCCUCAAAACCAGCUUUCCAAAUGUUCAUGAAAAUUGAGUUGUUACAUUAUGGUAUUUGUUUUGUUCAACUUAUUUGUCAGGCUCUAUUCCUUUGAACUUAUGUUCGUUGACUUCAGUGUUGCUUAAAUGAAAAUGUGGUGAACAAUCUUAUGGAUAGGAGUGUAUGAUUGAGUAUGUGUAACACCCCUAACCCACAUCCUUCGCCAAAUUAAAGUGACAGAGUGUUAUUAUACAAAACAGAACAUUCCAUGACAACACAUAAACAAUUAUGCAAAUUAUCACAAUCAUUAAUUAACCAUAUUAAAAUAUAACAUAAGUAUCCAUACGACCUUUAAAUCGAGCUUAUAUGGCCUUAAAAAUAGCUUGGGAUCAAUCUAGGAUCAAUUUGGAACAUAACAUAAAUUUUAAGAAAAAUCUAAAAAUUUUGGGAAACAUGGGUCACACAACCGUGUGUCCAGGCCGUGUGACAUACCCCAGACCUUGUGGGAAUUCAAAAUUAGGAAACGCAAUCAUGUCCUAACCCGUAUGUCUACCUGUGUGAAUAUUUGAAAUAGGGUCUCACAGUCGUGUCGAGGCCAUGUGCUAAACCAUGUAUAUAUUCAAAUUAUGAACACAUGGCCGUGUCGCAAGCCAUGUGCUAGACCGUGCUCAAAACUAUUUUGAGACACACAGCUGUGUCUUAGGCUGUGUGAAAUUUUCACUUUAGACAACAACACACAGCCGUGUGCCAGGCCAUGUACACCAAAAUGUACCUUAAAAAUCAAAUUUACCAAAACAUUUUUACUUAGGCAUCAAGAAACCUAAUUACCAUCAAUCAAACUCAUUCAAAACACAAUUAAACAGGUUCAAAACAUCCAUCCUAAGUGCCUAGCCAUUGUGCCCUCAUUGACAUCAUAAUUCAAUAAUCAAAUCAAUCAGAUUUAAACCAAGAUUUAAACAUUCAAAUUGUAAAAUCAUCAUUAACCAUUCAUACCAAAACACUGAUCAUUUCAAGUCAUAAACACCUAGCAAUAUUCACAUACUUUAUAAAGCUUAACUACCAAUACCAAAUAAGAUCCAUACACACAUACAUACCAAACAAAACACAUAUUCACAAGUAUCAUUCAAGAUUUACAACUUUACAUGUAAUUAACAUAAUUUCAAGUCACUUAUUACAUGUCAUACAACCCAAAACAAACACUAAACAAACUACCAAUAGUUUCUCGAAUAGUGUGAUUCUUGAAAUAAAAUUGAUCACCCAAAGCGUCAAAAAUAAAUCUACAAGAAAGCAUUGGAAGAGACACAAGAGUAAGCUUACUUAAGCUUAGUAAUUUCGACGGAUUUAAACAAUCAACUUACCGAAUAAACUUAUCUAAUAUAGGGUAUAGAAAGUCAUAAAUCAUAAUCAUGUCAUCCAUAAUCAGAUCACGAGUGAGUCUUAAACUUAAAUAUGAAUUAAUUAAUUCAAUCAAUUACAUUAUAUCAGUAAAUUAUACCCGAUGAACGUUGCAAUGGAUUUGGAUACACAGUUAACCAACCAAACACACCAAAUCACUCAAAUGAGCUAGCCAUCUGAAAGUACACAUGGGCACCAAGUGCCAAGCCCAUAGGCUAACCUCCCUCCGAAACACACCUUGUCACCAAGUGCCAAGCCCGUAGGCUUUACAUCCGCCCCCGAAACACACCUGAAGCACUACAAUAUAACGCGAUAGUUCGCAACAAAUGUUGAACUUCAAUAUAUUCAAUAAACAUGAAUAAGAUCAGAAUCAUCAUCUCCACAUCCACCAAUCUCGUAAAGCGCACGAUAUAACCUAUUGACAUGCCAAUUGUAUCCUAUCAUACAUUCAUCGGCUCACAUAUUUGUCAUUUAACAACAUUUAAUACAAUUUCUUUCCCAAAUCAUUUCACUUACCACAAUUCAAUACUUCCAUGUCAUUUAAUAAUUUCAAUCCACAAGUAAUUAAAUAUUUAAAUUAUACUAAAAUUAAACUGUAAAAACUCACUAGGGCCAAACUGUAGAAACAACAAAAGUUCAGGGACUAAUCAACAACCUUCCCUUUUUCCACAAUUAUCAACUUGAUCUUGAUCUAUAAUAUAAUUUAUUUCAAUUAUUAGCCUCAAUUUUCAUAUUCUAAUCAUUUCAAUACAUAUGAUCUCUUAUUUAUAAAUUUACACAAUUAUCCCAAAUUUUUACACAUUAUACAAUUUAAUCCCUAUGACCAAAUCAAGCUUAGUUCUACAAUUAAAUUCUCAAUCCAUAGAACUAAAUUUUAACCACAUCCAAAACAAUCCAUAUAUGCUAAAAUUUUCAAGAGUAACAUGUCUAUUUCAGUUAAAUCACUAAACAUCAAAUUUUGUAAAAAUCACUUUACAAACUCAAUACAUAUGGUCACCAAGCUUCAACGCAAACUAUUUACUACUACAAAUCUUCGAAAAUUUCAAUACAUAAUUUCUAUACUUUGAUAACUUCACAAAUAAACUCCAAAACUAGCUAAAUUCCAUUAUCAAUAGCUCAAAACUUAAAAUUUAUGAUGAAUAAACCAAGAAAAUACUUACAUGCAUUAAAAACUAACAAAAACCAAGAUCCCAAGCCUUAGAACAAUGGUGUUUCAGCCAAACCUAAGAAAAAUAAAGAAGAUGACCACUACCCCACUUUUGUUUUACUUUCCUUUUAUUAUUAUAAUAAUCUUUAUUUAUGAAAUUAUAACAUUAUAAAACACCAAUUUAAAUAUAUUUUUUUUCUCUCUUUACCGCCCAUAUUAACUAACUAUGGGCUAAUGGCAACAUAACCCCCCUUAGUUUACUAAUUUAAGCUAUUAUAUUAAAAUAAAUCUAUAAUAAGCAACUUUUCCACCUAUUACAAAUUAAUCCUUUUUCUUUAAUCAAUUCACUAUACGUUAAAUUUUCUAAACCAAAACUUAAUACGACACUGAUGACUUUGUAAAUAUUAAAUAAUUAAUAAUUCUAGACAGACACGUCGAAAGUGUAGUCCUAAAACUAUUAUUUUCGACACCGCUGAAAAUCGGACUGUUAUAGUAUGGUUCUACCUCUUAGGGGGAGACAUAUUCUAGUUUCCUUUGACUUGUUUAGAUGAUGUGUUAAUCAUUUGCUACUGGUUUUGUCAAAAUGCCAAAUGGUGAGAUUGUUUGAAACUUUGUUCAUGUACGAACAGUAGAUUAAACAAUGCUUAAUUUGAUGCAUUCAAAGAAUUUAUGUUGGCAUGUUUGACUUUAUAAUGAAAUGGCUUAUGAUUUAAUCUCAUUGAGUAGCAAAUGGGGAAGUGAUUUUGUGUUAUAACAUGUGAUGAUCAUUAUCUUUCAAUCAACUACCUUGAAGAAGAAUGGGAGGAGUUUGAACUUUUGUGGACUUUCGUAAUAUUUGAAGCUGCUAAGAUACUUGUUUAUAAAGAAUUUUAUGAUAUAACUAAUCAAAAUAAUUCAUGUCAUAAUUUUUGGAGUUUUAAACUUAUGAAGACUCUAGUAUUGGCCUAUAAAUAGGCAUAAUUACCGCACAUUGAAAAUAGGCUUUUGGAGGGUUUAAGUUGGAUGCUUUGGUGAAUUUUUCUUGUGUUUUAUAUAACACUCUUUUUUAAGUUUUUAUUGGGGGAUAUUUGCUUGAUGUAAGUGAGAUAUUUUGGAGAGAGUGAUUUGUAAUAAUUUAGGUUCAAUAUUGAAGUUGCAAAUAAUUAUAAGGUAAUGGUAAUUUGGACUUUAGUCAAUAGUUAAUCAAGACGAAUUGUAAAUACAAAUUAUUUUUUAAGCGAAACUCUACAGAAUAAAACUAGUGAACUCAAACUACUGAACUCAAACUACGCUAACAAAUAUUACAUAUUAUCUUUCCUUACUUUACUCGUUGCUUUACCUUAUUUUAAAAUUGUUUUGUCAUAAAUGUAUUAUGUUUGAACCUUUCCAAUCGAAAUAAAAAAAAUGAGAUUGAAAUUGUGAUAAAGCUAAAAAAAGUUACAACAAAUAUGAUUAAUAUUAUUUUUAUAUAUACUUAAUAAAAGUUAAAAAGGGAAUUACAUUUAUUGAAUAUUAUUUUAUUUAAUAAAAUAUAAUUACUAUAUUUUAUAUAAAAUUUAAAUAUUUUAUUGUUUGUUAGUUAAAUUUUAUUUUCUUUAUUUUCUUUAUGAAUAAAAUUAAUUUUCCUAAAAUUUGAGAUAAAAAAUGUUAUAUAGAAAAUUAAAUUAGUAAAAAGUUUAAAAAAAUCAAUUCUAAAAUAAACUUAACUAUUAUAAUAAAAUAUUUUUAUAUAAAAAAAGAAAUUAUAGAAAAGACUUAUUGAAUAUAUUUCCUAUUUUCGACAUUCAUAAAAAAAAAAAAAAGUGGUCCUAAUAAUUUAUUUAUACAAAACAAAAAAAAGUGGUCCUAUUAAUUCACCUCACAUUUGAAAUGUGUUAUAUGUAAUAAUAUUAAUAUCUUUAUCAAUUUUGGAGGUUCAUCCAUUCCCAUCUCUAUAAAUUUGCAUGCAGAACUAAAGCAACACAUAUCAACACAAUCUGUAUAACCAUGAAAACCACAACAGCUUCGGUGUUUCUUCUUUUCAUCAUCUUCUCAAUCACACCAUUGUCCUUUUCGUUUGGUGUGGCCAACACUACAAACGCUCCUGUGCUCGACAGUGAUGGCAACGAGCUCCGCACAGGCACCCCAUACUUCGUUGUGUCGUNNNNNNNNNNNNNNNNNNNNNNNNNNNNNNNNNNNNNNNNNNNNNNNNNNNNNNNNNNNNNNNNNNNNNNNNNNNNNNNNNNNNNNNNNNNNNNNNNNNNGGGGCUUGCCCUAGGCAUGCCUAGAGGAAACCCAUGCCCGGAAGUCGUUGCUCAAAGAGGAUCCGGUGACGAUGGUAUUCCGGUGAUAUUUUCUAAUUCGGACUCCAACGAUGGCGUUGUUCGCCUAUCCUCUGACAUAAACAUAGAGUUCAUUCCCCUCAGACCCAGAUUUUGCCAAACAACAACGGUGUGGAAGGUCGAUGAUUACGACCACUCAGCCGGAAAAUGGUGGGUGAUAACCGAUGGGGUUAAAGGGAACCCAGGUGCCAACACUUUGACCAGUUGGUUUAGAAUAGAGAAGGCGAGUCAUCUUGAUUACACAUUUAAGUACUGCCCCGCAGUAUGUGGAACAUGCCCGGCUUUAUGCAACAAAAUUGCGAGAGACUUGGAUGGAGAAAUGAUGCGUUUGGCUCUCUCCACUGACCAUGGAUGGCCAUUUUUCUUUAAGAAACUUCAAACAUCAGCCAUGGAGAUUGAACAAGUUGUUCAUAAUUAGAUUGAAAGCAAUCAUUAUGCAUGAACUAGUAGUUACUAUACAAUAUUAGCUUCAAGUAAAUAAUGCUGAGAGAACUGAUUGUUAAGAUUGCCAUGUUUGAAGCAGAAGCAUGCAUAUAUAUAUGCUUGCCUACAAGGUUUGUCUCUCAGAGUCCUCUUUGUACUCUUUUCAGCUUAAUAUAUAAACUGUCUACUUAUUUACUUCUUUUAUUAAUGCCAUUGAUUCUAGUAGUAUUAGACUCAUUAACUUGGAUACAUUGUCUUGUAAUUAACCCAAAAAUUAUAUAUAUAUCAAAAAAAAAAAAGAGAGUGAGAGAGGAAAAUAGACUAGCAAGUAACAAGCGAAAAAUGGUAAUACUAGGGUUAUUUAGAGUGGUUUCAAUGCACAACCGGAAUGAAUUGUUACCUUAUCUUUAGAGUCAAAGAAGGGUUCGUGACUAGUCUUUCAACAAUACUAUUUUCAAGGUUCGAACCUGUAUUAUCCUUUAAAUACGUAAUGUAUUUUAUCAUUACACUCAAUAAUAUUAGUAAUUUGCUUUAUUCUAUUCUUAAUUAAUAAUUAUGAUAUAUAUAAAGUUUAAGAUGGAUUUUCUUAUUCAUAUAUAUCAAUUAAAUCAAAUAUUUGUAUUUAAAGUUUUAACCGAACAUUAACUUUUUUUUUUAAUUUCUUCGUUUGUUGGUGGUGAUUAGGAGAUUGAUGGCCGGUCUUUGUGAUUGGUAGCUUUUAACACAAUGGCGAAGCUAAGGAGGCUUUAAAUGUUUAAAUGAUUUUUUUUUUCAAUUGAAACUUCUUUAUAAUUUAUAAAAUUUUAAAUUAAUAAUAAUAAAAUUACAUUUUAAUUUUUUAAAAAUGAUAAAAACGUGGAAGCACAUUUGUACGAUUAAUAAUAAUGAUAAUAUUUUUCCUACCACAUGGAAGUUUAUGGAAACACCAUUGGGUUUUGUAUUUAUGUUUUAUUCGACCCUCUUAUAAGUUUUACUGGGGAGAUUUGCUUGAUUGUAAGUGAGGUAUUUUGCGGAGAGUGAUUUAUAAUAAUUUAAAAUUAAUAUUGGGGUUACAAAUAACUAUGGGAGUAAAGUAGUUUAGACUUUAGCUAAUAAUUGAUCAAGAUGGAUUGUAGAAUAAAAUCAUUUUCGAAGCAAAAUUUUAUAAAAUUAGGAAAUCUGAAUUACGUUAACAAAUAUUGAUAUUAUCUUUCUUCACUUUAGUCCUUGCUUCACCUUAUCUCAAAAUUAUUCUAUAAUAAUCUAUUUUGUCUCAACCUUUUCAACAGAAUUUAAAAUGCAACUAUUUCUAACAAGUGCAAACCAAAAACUUUUUCACAUACCAAUAAAUGGCAAGCAACCAUACCGUGGGCCCAAUGUCCCAACAAUCAUCUAAACAUUUUUUUUUCUUUUUUAAAUAAUAUGUAAUAAUUUAUAUACCAUAAAUGAAUAUUAAUUAAAAUAAUAUAAACAAAAUAGGACUCUUUAAUAUAAUAUGGAUCCAAAAUGUUUCAUAUUUGAAAUGCAGUUUUUGAUAAUUUCACAUUUCAUAUUUUAUCUUAGAACAAAAAGAAAAUUUGAAUUUAAUAUUUGGACUAUUGAUCAAUGGUGUUUAUUAUAUUUCAAGACUAUCAGAUUAAUCUGUCGAUACUACUUAUAUGGUAUGGUUUAAAUGGGUGUGUGUAUAUAGAAAUUUGAAAUUCUAUUGUAUCAAAGAAAAUUUUUUUUAAAAAUAAAAUAAAAAGGAAUUUGAAAUUUAAAAUUUGAGAUCAAAAUAAAAAAAUGAGACUUGUUAUAAACCAUAAGGCUCAAAAAAGGUUACAACAAAUAUGGUUAAUAUUAUUUUUAUAUAUACUUAAUAAAAGUUUAAAAUAUCGAAUUUGUAAUAUUAUUUUUAUUUAAUAAAAUAUAAUUAAUAUAUUUUAUAUAAAAUUUAAAUAUUUUAUUGAAAUAUUAUGUUAGGUAAAUUUUAUUAAUUUUAUUUUCUUUAUAAAUAAAAUUAAUUUUAUUAAAAUUUGAGAUAAGAUAAUUAAAUUAAUAAAAGGUAUACUUCAUAUUUUAUAGUUAUUAUAAAUAAAAAAUUAUUAUAAAAAUAAAAAAAAAGAAUUCUACAACAUAAUGAAAUAUUUUUAUUAAAAAAAACAGAAAUGAUUGAUGGAAUAUAUUUCCAAUUUUCGACGUUCAUUAAAAAAAAAAAAGAGUGGUCCUAAUAAUUGAUUUAUUGGGGGAAAAAAAGUGGUCCUACUAAUUUACCUCACAUUUGAAAUGUGUUAUAUGUAAUAAUAUUAAUAUCUUUAUCAAUUUUGGAGGUUCAUCCUUUCCCAUCUCUAUAAAUUCGCAUCGAGAAAUAAAGCAAUACAUCAACGCAAUCUGUAUAACCAUGAAAACCACAACAGCUUCAGUGUUUCUUCUUUUCAUCAUCUUCUCAGUCACACCAUCAUCUUUUUUGUUUGGUGUAGCCAACGCUACAAACGAACCUGUACUCGACAUUGAUGGCAACGAGGUUCAAACAGGCACCCCAUAUUAGGUUGUGUCGUCCAUAUGGGGUGCUGGUGGUGGGGGGCUUGCCCUAGGCAGGCCUAGCGGAAACCCAUGCCCGGAAGUCGUUGCUCAAAGACGAUCCAGUGACGAUGGUAUUCCGGUGAUAUUUUCUAAUUCGGACUCCAACGAUGGCGUUGUUCGCCUAUCCUCUGACAUAAACAUAGAGUUCAUUCCCCUCAGACCCAAACUUUGCCGAACAACAACGGUGUGGAAGGUCGAUGAUUACGACCAUUCAGCCGGAAAAUGGUGGGUGAUAACGGAUGGGGUUAAAGG